rnacentral:lncRNA from 1 species
CCAUGUCUUAUCAGACGAAGGUUCUUCUCUAGCCGCUCACACCAAGUCAAAUGCUACAGCCAAGCUUGAUUUCGACUUGAAUGAAGGAAUACCUGGGGAUGAUGGGCAUCAGUCUGAGCCAACUAUCUCACCUGUUGUAUGUUCCUCAGCAAUCCAUUUAACUGGGCAUUUGCCAUUCACUUCGCCUAUUACAAGUGGGUUGCAGCCAGCUCCAAUAACAGUAGCUGCUCCAGCUAAAGGGCCCUUUGUUCCUCCGGAAAACCUACUAAGAGCAAAGCCGGAGAUUGGGUGGAAAGGUUCAGCAGCUACGAGUGCAUUUCGCCCUGCUGAACCAAGGAAGAUUUUGGAGAUGCCUACUGCCACACGUGACAUUCCAGUAUCUCAUGCUGCUGGGAAGCAGUCUCGCCCCACACUUGGUUUUGAUUUGAAUGUUGCAGAUGACCAAGCUCUCGAGGAAGAUAUCCCACAGAGUUCUGCACAGACUACCUGUUCUGAAUCUGGAAAUACGAGAAGUCGAGAUGGCUCUUCACGAAGCGCUGGUAUUGAACUUGAUCUGAACAGAGUUGAUGAAGUUGCAGAUAAUGGUCAAUUUGUACCAAAUGCUUCGCACAGAGUUGAAGUCCCAUUGUUGUCGACGAGAUCGUUACCUGGAGUUUUCUCUAAUGCUGGCACAAAUAGCUCGAGGGACUUUGAUCUUAACAGUGGACCAGGCCUUGAUGAUGUUGGCACCGAACCUGCACCAAAACCUUCUAAAAAUACAAGCAGUAUUCAAUUCCUACAACAACUUCCUGUUAGGAUGAAUAGUGCUGCCAUUAGUAAUAUAUCACCUUGGCUUGCCGCUGCCAGCCCUUGUGGUCCAGUAGCUAUACAAUCUUUUUUACCAUCUAGAGAACAGCCGUACCCAAUUGAGGCAGCACCUGGAGCCCAGAGGAUUAUUGCGCCUACAGCUGAUGGUGUCCAAUUUGGAGGUGAUCCCUGCAGGCCUCCAGUUAUUUCAACAUCUCCAGCGAUGGUUUUUCAUCCGCCUGCAUAUCAGUAUGCAGGAUUCCCUUUUCCUCCGAGUGUUCACCUUCAAACACCGGCAUUUUCAAUUGGAUCAGCAACAUUCAAUAAUCCUGCAUCUGCAGGAGGUCCGUAUUUUCCAACUCUCUCCCCUCCUCUUGUUGGGCCAGCAGGAGCGUUACCUUCCCAACAUUCAAGGCAGUAUGCUAUAAAUCUUGCUGAGGGUAGCAGCAGCAGUGGACGUGAUAGUAAUCGUAAAUGGGAAAGUCAGGGCCUUGAUCUUAACUCAGGCCCUGGAAGUAUAGAUUUAGAAGGAAAGGAUGAACGGAUGCCUUUACCAGUCAGACAAAAUUUGAUCCCACCCCCACAUGGCUUUGCAGAGGAUCAAGGAAGAAUUUACCAAAUGCCAGUUGUAGGAACAAAGAGAAAGGAGCCUGAUGGCAGUUGGGACUCAGAAAGGUCUACAUACAAGCAAUUAUCAUGGCAAUGAGGGCUCUGAAGGAGAUCAUUUUGCACCGACUGGUCUGCGAUGAGCAUGUAUGUAGUUGAUUCAAACUUUUGAGGUCUGUUCGAUUUCUUACUAUCAGUUGCUAAUCUUGUGAAAUUUGUGGAAUUGUGCCUUUUAUUUACAGAGGUACCUGCAUGUAGAACUUGGGCGGUGUGUUCUUCAGUCACUGGACUAUACUCGGGAUUCAGCCCCGUGACGAUGAUGUGGGAUUGAGGAAACGAAAAGUUGCUGUAAUUGUUGUAGAUUUUUCUUAGCUGUUAGGCUUUUGGUUCUAAUUUACUCAGGAGGGUAUGGCUGCGGAGGAGGAAUCUUUGUGAUCCUGAGCUCUGGGGCUACUGUAAUUAGACCGUCCGCUCUGUUUGUUGGUGAUAAACUGUUGAGCACAUGCUGCAGCUUUACAUAAGAAUUUAGAUGUGACCUUGUUCCUUGUUGGGAAAGCGUUACGUCAGCUGACCAUAUACACACUGGUGCAACGAACAGCUCGAGUUGCUACGCCAUGUAUCUUGGGUUGCAGUGCAGCUGUAUGUAUAAGAAUUCUAGCAGAUCAGCAAACUAUAAUUUUUUGCUGUUUCUUUGACAUAAAAUCCAUCUGCAUCUCGUUUACUCUUGAUGCUCUUUUUUUAAAAAAGAAAAUGGAGAAGUGAUCAUCGGCAGAUACAACGAGGUCUGGCUCAGUGUUUUUCUCUUAUAAUUCAGAGCAAGCUGAUAGGCUGUGUGUGAUUUUCAUUUGAUUUAUAUUGGGUAUAAAUACAUGUAGAACCAUUGCCUUAGGCCUUGUUUAGUUUUCUCGCGAAAAUGUUCUAUAUUUAAUGCUCCAUACGUGAGCUGCAAGAUUCAAUAUGAAGAAAAAUUUUGAAAAGUUUUUGUAUUAACUAAACAAAGCCUUGGGAAUGUCAAGUGUGGUGCGAGUGGAACAAAUAUCCGCUCGGCGAGAACACAUGCAAAAUAUUCUCACACUGGCCAUACAGGGUGCAAUUUCGCAUCCGUAUCUUGUCAGGUGUGUUUAUCUGCUCUCGUGGGUUAUCUAUUGGUUUUAGGCACCAGUCGGGUGUAUUAAUCCUAUCUAGUCUAGUACCACCUAAAAAAUAGGUGUGCGCGCGUCAUAAAAAAAAUUCCAAUUCUGAAUGCAGCCAGAAACCGCGGGCCUCACCUUUCUCUGUUCCCUAACAAAAACACAGAACACUUAUCUCCCAAAACUUCAUCCUUCAACGUGUACGUGCAGUGCAUAACUAUACUCGGUAUAACAAAACGGAACAAAUCAGACGUGCGACCUUCGCGCAGGAGAUAACUGGGCAGGCACGCCGAGGGUCAACCAUACUCUAGCUUUAUAUAUAUCAACUAAAAAAAAUACAGGAUGCUACCGACACAACUACAGGAACUGGAAGGACUACUUGUUUAGUUCUAAAACUUUUAGUAAAAUAAGCACGGUAGCACUUUCGUUUGUAUUUGACAAAUAUUGUUUAAUCAUGUACUAAUUAGGCUCAAAAGAUUCGUCUCGUAAAUUACAGGUAAAUUAUGUAAGUAGUUAUUAUUUUUAUCUACAUUUAAUACUUCAUACAUGUGCCGUAAGAUUCGAUGUGAUGAGAAAUCUGAAAAAAUUUGCAAUUUUUUUGGAAAUAAACAAGGCCUUGCUUGCCGAUGCUGCUAGGAAGAUGUGGAACUUAAGUAUAUCGGAGCAUAUAAUUGGAACAUAAUUGAUAUUAUUAGUUCUAGCCAUGUAGAAACUAAAUUUGUAAUAUUGAUAUUACAUUCAAAAAUAGUUUUUUUUUCUAUAACAAAUUCAUACUAGCAUUAUCAUGGUAUUAUAUUUUAUCCGUGUAAGAUACGGAUAUUUAUCCAGUCAGGAAUAUUAUAUCAUUAUAAUCGUAUCGACAAUAUUUUUUUGAACGUAGUAUCAACAAUACUUACAGAAAGUAGAAAAUAAGUGAAGUUUAUAACAUUUAUGUAUCACAUAUUUAUUACACAAACUCACUAGAGCAAAGAGUUAAUAAAUAAUGAAGCGAAGCUUUUUACUCUAGCUCUAAUUGAGGAUUUGCAAGCCACCAAUCCCAAUAAUUCUAGUUGGUAAGAUCACAAGGCACACAAGAGUUAUGUCACUACAAUCUACACUAGUCAACUAAGCUACAUAAGGCAUAGCUAGCAAGUAAAGCUAAUUACACUACUUUGCGGGAAUAUAAAUAGAAAGAAUAUGAUCUUUAUAUCGUCGUGUAGGGAUGAACCAAUCACCAAGAUGUAAACAAAUCAAUCACCACAAGAAUGUCAAUCAAACACAAUUAAGACACAUAACUUUUCUCCCAAGGUUUACGUGCUUGCCGACACGCUAGUCUCUGUUGUGCCGACCAACACUUGGUGGUUCGGCGGCUAAGAGGUGUAGCACGAACCUUGUCCACAGAAUUGGACACCGCAAGAACCUACCCACAAGCGAGGUAGCUCAAUGACAUGCACAAUACACUAGAGUUUCCUUUGGUGCUCUGCUGGAGAAGGCAUAAGAGCCCCUCACAAGAUCACCGGAGCCGGCCACGAAUAAUCAUCAACACGUGUCGGACCUCCACUGCUGCUCCAAGUCAUCUAGGUGGCGGCAAGCACCAAGAGUAACAAGAACGGCCACAACGAUUCUCAAGCGCCACUAGAUGGCCACGAAGUUCUUAUUACUCUUGGUGGUUGUCGCCACCUAGAUAACUUGGAGCAACGGAGGAGGAUUGGCACGAGUUGGUGAUUAUUUGUGGCCAUCUCGAGAUGAUUGUGAGGGGUUCUUGUGCCUUCCCCGGUGGAGCACCAGAGGCAACUCUAUUAGAUUGCUCGUCUCAUUGAGCUACCUCACUUGUAGGUAGGUUCUUGCGGUGUCCUAAGUGUUAGUCGACAUAAUGUGGACUAGCGUGCCAGCAAGCACAUGAACCUCGAGAGAAAUCAUGUGUCUCCAUUGUGAGUGUCUCAUUGGAUUUCUUUCGGUGAUUGGAUUUUGUAUCAUUGUGAUUGGUUCAUCCCCUCUACACAGAGGUAUAAAGAUCAUGUAAGUGCAUCUAGCCCUUUAGUGGGUUUUGGUGAAUUGAGUGACAACACAAUUAAAGGUCUAACAAGUUUGCUAAGUUUAUCAAAGGUUCAAUAAGAAAACAAACUUGAUGAUAUUUCACAUAAUGUUCAAAUGAAGGCCAAAGUUGUGUUUUGUUAUAAACUAAAGCUUGAUUGAUAUCAACACUCAUAUCAAGGAGAUAUUCAAGCAAGGAUCACAACAUUCAAGAAAGGGUUCUUUAAUGGAUGCUUAAUAUGAUGUGACUUGAGUAUGGCUCGAUAGGGUAAAGAUAGCAAGGAAAGAGCUUUGAGGGACCAAGCGAAAGUGAAGGGCAAGCAAUGGCUUGUAGACCGAGAUACCAUGGCUAAGUUGAAGAAGAGAGUAUUUGCAUUGAGUCGAGGUACUAAUCGAACUAUGAGGAGUCACAUUGUUUUGAGGAUCAAAUCAUUAGUGGAAGUGACUUGAAACCAUGGAUUGAACUCAUAUGUGUUAAAAUAAUUCAAGUCACAUGCUCAAGCUAUAUUUACUCAAAGAGAGGAGACAAAGUUAACUGCAUCCCCGAUAAAGUAAUAUUAAGAAGUGGUAUAUGAAGACAUUAAAGACUCAAGUGGUUAAAAUAGUUAUAUACUUUUGAUCUUGAGUUUAGGAUUUAUCGCACUAUAAAGAGGGAUACAAAUUUAGUUGGUUUGAGAAAGAUAGAGUGCUCAAAUAUUAAAACUAAAUCAAAAGAGAGACACUCUAGCACUUUACGAGCACAUAGAAUAGUUUUUGAGACUUGGGGUGUUAGAAGUCCCGACGUGCGUCGGAACUGAUGACAUGUGUCAGAAGUGAUGAUGUGCGUUAAAACUGAUGACGUGUUGAAACUGAUGAUAUUUAUCGAAAGUUCCGACACCUGGCCCUCUUGCUACCUCUGCUCAUGCGUGCGUCAGAAGUGAUGACAUGCGUUAGAACUGAUGAUGUGUAGGAAGUGUUGACGUGCGUUGGAACUGAUGAUGUGUCAGAACUGAUGACGUUGACUGGUUUUAUGUAGACUUCUGACUGAGGUGAACAAUGUUUUUAGUAUAUGCUAGAAGUCUCGAGAUCCACGCUAGAACUUUCGACGUAGAUCUAAACGGUUAGUUUUUAGCUUCAUAUAAAUGGCUCUCUCCUCACUUUUAACUCUUACCCACUCAUUCACUCACACCCCAAACCUCAGAAGAGCAUCUCUCUAGCUCCAAAAGACCCCUCUCUUCUAUCCCCUUUGCUCCUAACUUCAAAUAUUGCAAGGGAUUGAGUGAGAGAAGGAUUCUUGGUGAGAGAAACAUCAAAGCAAAGCUUGAGCACUUAAUUUCUUCGUCAAGCCGGUUGGAUUUGUGUUUGUUACUCUUGGAGCAAAGCUCCUAGUCGGCUAGGCAUCUCCGUGGAACUUCCAACUUGUGUGGUAGCCCUAAGAGGUUUGUAAUCACUCAAAUCAUCUAGUGAAAUCACCCCUCAUCUCAAGAGAUUGCUCUCUUCACUUGAGAAUGAGGAUAGGGUUGAAAGAGACCCGAAAAAUCUAUGUGGCUUCCUCAACAAUGUGGACAUAGGCAAGCCUUGGUGGUGAGCUGAACCAUGGGAUAAACACUUUAUCUUACUAUUUGUGUUGCUCGCUACUUGUUUAUUUGUGAUUCUAGGGUUUGGUUUGAUCUACAAAUUGGUGGCUCUCUAGGGUCAAGGAAGCACUUGGUUAACUUCAUCUCACCACUAGGAAGUUGGGUUGUAAGUUAUUGGUUUCACAAAGUUUAUUUGAGCACUUAUAGUUUAUUUCCCAUAGGCGUCAGAAUUUCUGACAGUUUGUGUUGAAACUUCUUACGACGUCGGAAGUUCGGACCUGAACUGUCAUAACUUUCGACAGUUGCUGACAAGUGACUUUGAGUUGUGUAGAAUUUUUUUAGAUAUGCCUAUUCACCCCCCCCUCUAGGCGACAUCAAGGUUCUUACACAUCACAUCCUCUCUGAUUAAAUUCCUACAAAGUAGUGUAAUUAGCUUUAGUUAUUAGUUUUGCCUUGUGUAGCUUAGUUCACUGGUGUAGCUUGUAGUGACAUAGCUUUUCUGUGCCUAGUGAUCUUAGAAACUAGAAUUAUUGGAUAGGUGGCUUGCAACCCUUCUAAAGCUAGAGCAAAAUUGUUUUACGCUAUUUAUUGUACUAAUCUUUUGUUCUAGUGUUUUGUAAAAUUUUUUAAUAGGCUAUUCACCCCCCUCUAGCCAUACUAGGACCUUUCAUUAGCUUCUACCUUGCAGUGGCCUAGGUAGUGCUUAGGUUCCAGCAUUAUGGCAUUGGUCUCAUGAUUAAACAGUGCAUCACUAAGGUCCUUCAACUUGCACACCCUAGUUCACUUCCUCAAGUGAUUUUACACUUGAGUAGGGCUUACAAUUUCACCAUUGUACUCCCUAAGAGCAUUUGCCACAUAAUUGAUAUCCUAACCCUUGAAGCACUUGUUAAUCCUACUACCAUCAGACACUAUGUGGGACAUCCUCCUAAGGCACAAACCUAGACAUGUUGUUAUUCCACCUCAUGGGUGGCCUAGCCCACCAGAACAGUAAUAUCCUUAGCUAACCCAACACCACCCACAUUAGCCAUGUCAUUAGCUAACACAAAUCUAGCCAUCAAGAAGGUCAUCAUCCAUGACAUGAAGCCAAGUAUCAACCACACAUAGCAGAUGAACAAGAGAUAGAAGAUGAACAACAUAUAGAAAAUAUACAACAAAUAGAAGAAUUACAGCAGGUUAGUCUCAAUCAUGUCCAUGAUAACAGAAUCAUCAUAAAAGUUAUAGUAGUUUGGUCCUAGUCAUGUCCAUUAGUUAUUAUACAACAUAAGUACACCACAUGAAUUCCAUAUCUAGGGUCUACAAAGUAAAAUCAUACAAGAACACUAAAAGCAUGAAUCAAAUCCUAGUAGUACCCCUAGCAUCCCACAUGGCAUUGCAAAUAUCAUCCCUCAUAUUAGACAUGCUAGUGAAGUUUGGGGACAACAUGUCUCCUAUAGGCUCAGGUUUCAUGUGCCUCAGGCUGGAUGUCUAGAAAGCCCUCUUCUUCUAGGACAACUUCAUCAUUGCCAAACCUAAGGAUUCAAUUAUGGAGAAUGCAACAGGCUAGUUGAAAGGUCCAAAUGGCUAGAGGGGGGUGAAUAGCCUAUUUAAAAUUUCUACAAACUUCACUAAGCCAGUGAGUUAGUAAUACAAAUGGUGAAGCAAUUCUAGCACUAGCUCAACUAAGCUAUGCAAGCCACCUAUACAAAACUAGUACAAGGCUAAACACUAAAGCACAACAACAAGAGAAGGCUAGCUACACUCCUAAACAAGAAGACUAUACUAAACAAGCUAAACAACUAGCAAGGUAUACAAGUAAGUAAAUGAGUGGAGAGUGAUUGUUAUACCGACGUUGUAGAGUUGAGAUGUAUCCAAUCAAUCAUAUACACAAUCACAAGAGAGACCUCGGUAAGAGAUGACACAAGAUUUUUUACCGAGGUUCACUUGCUUCCAGGCAAGCUAGUCCUCGUUGUGGCGAUACACCCACUUGAUGGAUCACGAGCUAAUUGGCAAUCCAAAGCCAAACCCUCAGCGGGUGCCACACAUCCACUCACAAGAUGGGGAUCCUCCAAGCCACGAGCAAUCCACUAGAGUAGCCAAUUGCGAUCUCCCGCGAGGAAGGCUCAAGAACCCCUCACAAAUCACUUGGUGAGCCUCCAAACAAUCUCUAAUCAUGAGCUCAACACCACCUCUGCUCCAAGCCGUCUAGGGCAUCGGGAAACACCCAAGAGUAACAAGAAAUCCGCAGCAAACUCAAAGAUCAAGUGCCACUAGAUGAACCUCUCAAUACAAUGUACUUGAAUCUCACUCAAUCUCACUAAGAUUAGCAAUCAAGCAAGGAGAUGAGUCGAGGGAGUGUUCUCUAGCUCAUUUUAUGUCUCAAGUAAUCAAAAUGUGCAAGACAGAACCUCUCAAAGCCGGCCACCUCAUAUUUAUAAGCCCCUCAAAGAGAUAGAGCCGUUGGCUCUGUUACUGGGCAAAAAUCGGGGGCACCGGACGCGCAGAAAGGUACCACCGAACGCUCGACCCCCCGCGUCCGGUGCUCUAGAGUUGGCCACGUAUCCACCUUUGAAUCUCGCGCGUCAAACUCUAACGGUCACUUGUAGACCACCGGACGCGACCAAGUGAGCAUCGGACGUGUUCGGUACUCACCGGUCACGUGCGUAGAGAGUUCUGCGAACACACGACCUCACCAGACUCGGAGCACCGGACACGUCCGGUGCUCACCGAACUCAUGCGCAGAGAGGCCAGCAAACCGCACUAACACUGGACGCUGAGCACCAGAUUCACUCCGGUGCGUCCGGUGCCCUGUCAAACAACCUCGCAGAAUCGCUCUCACAUCCCAGCAAGCACCGGACGCGUGAACAGGAGAACCCCUGCAUCCGGUGUAGAGCGUCCGGUGCGCUCUGCUUCCUCUGGUCAAACUCAAAAGUACACCGGACGCUAAAGGCCAGCGUCCGAUGCCUCUGUGCACUGUGUCCGGUAACACUCCCGCGACUUCCCCAAAAUUCUCACCGGUGCAAUAGAAAAUAUACACUUAAUUUUCUCAAAAGCGCUGAAUCCCGCCUUGCAAGCUUGGCGGGAGGGAGAAAGGAACCCAAACCCCUCUCAACCCUAGGAACUCCACCUCCUUUGCAAAUGUGCUAACACCAACAAGUGUUCACCACCAAAGUGCAAUUGUGUUAGCUUUUCACAAACAUUUUCACCAAAGGAGUUAAGUUAGCACUUUACUAGAUCCUAAUGCAUAUGCUCAAGAUAUGGACCUAGUAGCACUUGAUUCGAGAGAUGAAUGUGAUUUCCCCUCUUGAUAGUCGGCUAUCUAUCCUAAACCCGGUCAAUCACUUCUCUACUCAUCUUAGACCGACAAAAGUAAAACCCUAUGUUUAUACCUUUGCCUUGAUAACUUUGCUCUUCGUCUAUCACCAUGAUCUCUACAUCAUGCUACAUCUCUUUGUGAUCAUGUGGCCACCUAUCCAUACCACCUUGCUCCUUCAUCAUAUGUGUUGUUAUGCCUAACUCAAAUCACUUAAAUAGAAGGCAUUAGCAACUUGGUGUCAUUAAUUACCAAAACCAAACUUGGGCUUUCACUGAUGCAACACUAAAGGUAUCCCCGCUAGCUUUUAACCAUGGGACAAGUUUAACCGUUGGUCUCAUGCAAGCGUUGUCUUUGUCCGGUGCUCUACAGAGAGCUCCUCUUCUCUAUUUCUUUCACCUUUUUUUAAAUGUUCUAACUCUAAAGUGUUCCAUCACUUGUGUUCAUGAGUUAGCAUUUUUAAAGGUUUUUUAGUGCACUCACUAGAUCCUAAUGCACAUGUAAGGAGUUAGUUCACCUAGUGGCACAUGAAUAACUGUAUUGAACUUUGAGUUCUUCUCUUAAUAGUACAGCUAUCUAUCCAAAACACAAUCAUGCAUUUUAUUACGUCUUGACCUACAAAACAAAAUAGCCUAGCUCAUACCUUUGCCUAAAGCCUUUUUAUAUUUUGUUUUCUCUUUCUUCUUUUCUAAUAAUUGAGCACUUGUCACCAUUUGGCCAUCACCAACAUCACAUGUGCCAUCUUUGCUCAGCCUUGGAUGUGUAUCAACCUAUCUCAUGAACAAUACUAGAGCAAAAUUUAGUCCAUUUAGUUGUCUCAAUUAUCUAAAACCAAAUAUAGGGCUUUCAAUAUCCCUGACUACAUGAAUUGUUCUAAAAUUGAUUGAAGUGUAUGUUUGUAGAUGGGUUUAUAUUUGAGUAAUAUGAAAUGAAAAUAAUAAUAUAAAUCAAUGGCAAGCAAUAAUUAGUGCCUUGUUUAUAAAAUAAAUUCAUGUUCCAAUCAUUAGAUUAUGAAAUUGAUGUAUCAUCAAAAGAUAAAUUGAAAAAAAAAUGAACUUAUAUGCUUUUUGUCCACCUUAUCUUCUCUUCCUUCUUCGGGGCUAGUCGCAUGUCCCAUUCCACCAAAGUGCAUGUGUGUUAGCUUUUCACAAACAUUUUCAUCAAAGGAGAUAAGUUAGCACUUUACUAGAUCCUAAUGCAUAUGCUCAAGAUAUGGACCUAGUAGCACUUGAUUCGAGAUAUGACCAUGAUUUCCCCUCUUGAUAGUCGGCUAUCUAUCCUAAAUCCGGUCAAUCAUUUCUCUACUCAACUUAGACCGGCAAAAGUAAAACCCUAUGUUUAUACCUUUGCCUUGAUCACUUUCCUCAUUAUCUAUCAUCAUGAUCUCCACUUCAUGCUUCAUCUCUUUGUGAUCAUGUGACCACUUUUCCAUGCCACCUUGCAUCUUCAUCACAUGUGUUGCUAUGCCUAACUCAAAUCACUUAAACACAAGGCAUUAGCAACUUGGUGUCAUUAAUUACCAAAACCAAACUUGGGCUUUCACUAGUACAAGCUUCACUUGUGUCUUGUAUGUGUGGAAUGGUUUGUUGUCUAGGUUACGAAAUCUAUUCUUGAGUGCACCAAAAGCUCUCUCAUUGUCACCCUAAGGGAUGAGUGCCUUAGGUUGGACAACUUCUUAGCAUUGGUAAGAUAAUUGCCGCUCCUAUAUUCAGACAAGUGGUACUUCAAAACCCCUAUAGGGAGGGAGGAAACUAGUGUGGCAAGCAUAGCUAGCAUCUAUAAGGUAAAACUUCCCUGCAAGUGCACCGAAACAUAUACUACAACGAAUGUGUGUGAUAGUUUAUGGACAACAGUGUAUGGACUAAUGAAUUUAGUUACCUUCAGGAACUAUGAACCCAUCAUUCUUCUCAAUUGCAUCAGCAAGUAUAAGUGCAUUAUGGGUGGAGCCCUCCCAGUCAGCUAGGACAUAAGUCAAUUUUAGAUCAAAGUCCACAACAUCCAUCAUAUUUUGUGUGGGAUUGUGCUUCCUACCCCUAAAAGCAUGUCACAUGUGUCUAGGCACCCUUGCCAACACAUGUGUGCCAUCAAUGGCACCAAUACAGUCUUAUAAGUGUUUUAAGCAGCACAUAAGUCCAUAGAGUUACAAUGGGGUCCAACUUAAGGCAAAUAAGCAAGAUUAAAUAGUACCUGCAUAAAAUGCUACUAUCUUUGGGUACCCAUGAUUUUGGGAUGUGUGGCAGUGGUAGGUGGUGUGAUCAAUCAGUCCUAAGCUCACCAACAACAAGAACUUGGUGACUAAUUGUCUGAAUAGACCUCCUAAAGGACUUGUGAACUACCCUGAACCUCUGGUUGUGACCAACCACAUGGAGGAACAUUGCAACCUGCUCCUUAAUAGAACACCCCACUACUUUCUGGAACAAGGCCUCUACCUCUAAAAAGGUUGCAUAGAACUAAAAAAGGAGCCUGGUCACACACAACAUAGCCAAACACUCAUCAUCAGUGUUGUUAAGGAUCAUUUGGAGGGUUCCUAGCCUAUGCUACCGACCUAAUGACCUAGGACCAUAAGUUACAAGCUCAAGUGGGGCCCUAAUUCUUCUAAGUCUAGUGACCAAAAAAGAUAGCAUCACCACAACAUGGCAGCUGCUUGUCUAGCUAUCAUCUCAUGAUGUUCAGUUGGAUCCAUCUACAUGCAUUCAACAUUCAAAUGUAUAACUCAGUUGUAGUAGACCCUAGGUGGCCUCAACAUGAAAGUGUAAGCAUUCACAACAAGAUAAAAUAGCAUGGUUGCAUAAGGAAAAAAUGCCUCCUAUGCAUUGGGCAUAUUCAUCAUCGACCAUAUCAAACUACUUACAAUUCAACAUACAUGUGAAGGUGCUAUAAAAACCAAUUCUUAGUGACAAGACCAACAUCAUCGACCAAAGUUAAUGUUCCAUAGACAAAAGUUGAAACCAACAACGGCAAGAGGAAACCCUAGAAUCAAAGCAAUGGGGGAUAUGGGUCGAUUUCACCUCGAGGGAGAUGACAGUGAGUUCAUGUGGCGCUAGACCGAGAAGAAGAAGAGCCGGCAGUGAAGAAGUAGCUGAUCUGGUAUGGGAAGAAGAUCCACCUGAACCAACACCAGCAGCACCAUCACAACACGAUGAAGACGAAGGAGGAAGACAACUGCAUCCAUGGAGCCCAGCAGGAGACACAACAGCACCAUGGCCAAAUGGAUCCUAACUUGGGGAACGGAAAUGAAGCCUAGAGAGGAAGAAAACCGUCGUGCCACACCACCACCACACCAACGCCGCCAGUCACUCAACGCGAACACAGUGGGGAAAGAUGGGGAUGACGGAGCAAGAGGAAGAAGGAGCCAGCAAGAGAGGGCGACAGCUUAUAAAUAUGGCGGUUUUCACGAGGAAUGAGCGUGCACGAAAGUUUCAUGGUUCCCACGCAAGCUCGCGUGAGCCGCCAUCUCCGCCCCAAAAUCGCUCGCGCAAGGACGAAGCAAGACUAACCUGGGAGAAACGAACCCUGAAUGUGUUUUCCCUGGUGCAGGAGAGGAGGAUUUGUAGCUGGAGGACCGAGCCAGAAGCUAGGACAGAUGUAUCAAACAAGAUGGGUUGUAGCUAGAGGGCGCAGGGCCACCCUAAAGCCCCAUAUCAAACACGUCCUUAAGAGCCUAUUUGGCAGAGCUGGAGCUUUGCCAGACAUGUUAACGACAACUGACAGUUGGUUUACCCCUUGCGAGUCUCAAAAGACAACAUACACGUUCAUCACGCUAGUUAGAAAAAAACAGUUUCUACAUGUUAGUUGACAGAUUCAACCGGAUCUGUGAGUCAUUCAACUAUUUUUUUUCUUUUACAAUAAAUCAACUAACAAUACUUUCGGCCAUGACAUCAGCCAAACGAACAAAAUGAUUAUAUGGAAUAGAUUUUUGAAAUAAGAUGAACAAAAUCUUGGGGUUCUAAUGAUGACAACAAUAUGUUGACAAAUGAUAAAUCGGUACAAUAACGACAAUGACGCUAUAACAAACUCAUAUAUUACUUGAUUAAUUGAGAAAAUUAUAAUUUAACUAAAUAAAGAAUACUAGUAUAUAUGAAAAAAUAUUUUAUAAGAUGAACAGAAACUUAGGCUUCUAAUGAUUACAAUGUGUCCAUAUCAAUUUAUAAUGUGUCCAUAUUUAUAAGAUGAACAAAAACUUAUAGGCUUCUAAUGAACAAAAACUUGAUUACAAUGUGUACACAUCGUGUAAAAACCUAAGGCUGUCUCCAACAGGACAUGCAUUUGCGAACCCAAACCCAAAAUAGGUUUCCAACACAAUACCUAUAGCCUAUAGCCUCCAACAGAAUACCCAUACAGAAAACCCAUUUUGGGUAUCAGGAGAGGCAUAACCCAAAUUUGGGUAUCCUCUCUCCUCGAGACCCAUUUGCAGAGAGUGUUGUCUUUUAGGUCUUGUUGUUGGAGAAGACUAAAAAUAGGUAUGGAACCCUGUAGCGCUACCCAGGUCUUGUAUUUUGGGUGACGAUUGUUAGAGAUAGUCUAACGCAUGCAAAGAUAAGGCAAAGACUUCCCAAGCAUGCCGAUACCUGCUACUUGCACCGAGAUGCAGGCAGCAGGCUCUUUGGUUGCAAAGCCUGCGAAAGACUUGUCCGGACAGUUCGUGAAGGAGAUGGGAUCAUGGAACUGAUAAGAAGACAGAUUUCAGCCUAGUAAAUAAAUAUGUAAAAGCAAUGCAAAUUUACACUAAAAUUCAAUGCCAUGGAUUUAACCGGUUCCGAGCCUUUGCUCCCAAAACUGACGGAAGUAAGCUUCCCACGACAUAAGUCAUUAACCAAAUGGUACAAAGUGUAUCCAUCGGGUACAAUCAAACAACAUCAUUUGUCAAUUCCCUUCAGAAACGUGAGUCAACCUCAUUCUUCAGGCUCUGCGAAGAUGGUAUGAAUCAAUGAUUGAUAAGAUAACAUAUGCGUAGACGAUAGCUAUUUGCAUGAAGUACAAACCAGUCUUUUGAAAGAUCCACCGUGUACCAACUUCUUCAGCUUCUCUGCAUCAGACUUCGCUUGGUCCAACGCCUGCAGUACAAAGCAGGUCAGGAAAACAUUGCAUGGUGCUAUAGCAAUCAGGAUUUCAAUUAGUUUCUUUCAUAUAUGUUAUUUCCUAGAAAUUUUGGUUCAGAUCAUUGUAUCCAUCCAUUGGACGAUACUGAAUUUAUGCUAUCCCUUCUGACUCCUGCCCGAUGAGUAGCUUCCAUCAGACCACUGUCAUAUGCUUACAUUAAACUAGCAAGCAGCACCUGUUGCUAAAACAACUCAUCCUGAAAGGAUACAAAGACUUAUGAUUUAUGAAAGAACAAUGUCAGGUUAGUGGAGAUAUUGAAGUAUUUACUUCCUCCAAUCACAAAUAUAAGUCUAUCUAAGUUUGUCGUAGGUCAAUUUUUUUUUAACUUUGACUAGGAAUGUUUAUAAAAAUAUUUUUCCCUCUGUCCUGAAAUAUAAAGUAUCAAGCAUUCAUAAUUUUUUCCAAACCCCCUCUCCUUGUGGCCAACACACGCACACAAUUUAGUUUUAAGAGGCAGCAAUAGUGUCCAUAACCAACUCAAAUAUGGUAAUCACAAUAUCCCUGUACAAUUAAAGGAGGGUUACAUGUGCCAUUUACUUUAUACUUUAUCUCACAAUUUGUCCUAGAAUUCCUAGGAUACUUAUAUUUCAAGGGAGUAUCUUAAAUGAAAAGAGUUAUAUACUAUGACAACCACAAUGAAUCUAUUAUGUUCAAUUUUGUGUUAUCACUCUUUAUUGAAUUUAGAUAUUGAUGGUCAAAGCUAAAAUACAAGCAUAGAUGCACUUAUAUUUACGACCAUAGGAAGUACAAGAUCUCUAGAAUAACCUGAUCCAACAAAAGAAUGUUUUAAGUCUACCUGGAUCAGUGACUCAACCCUGCGCCUCAUCCUGGUAUGCAUGAAUCCUUCAGAACACUGAUACAGGAAACCAUAGCAAUUGAGAACUUGUAAAACUAUAAGUAACGGUUUAGUGUUAAUCUAAUAACAAAAGUUCAUAGAAGACUAAUAGUUACUGUGAGCAGAAAUUGCUUCCAAAAGAAAAUAAAAUUAAGAGAGAACAACAACAACGAAGGUGUGGGUUUGUUUAUAUCAAUAAUAUAACUAUAGUUUGACAUGAUAAUGUAUGCUCCUCUGUAUCUCAGUAGUAGUGCAAGACGGAGUUGCUAGAACAAAGAUUGACUGCUUGAUUUACAUAUAUGGGGUUGUGUAUGUUGGGACUUGGGUUUCCACAUGGAACACUUAAUAUGAGCCAAUGGUAGUCGAGAUGCACAGUAUUGAAUGCUUACUGGCAAGCAGCCAAGUACCAACACAAUGCACAGGCUACACAAAUAUCAAAUGUUCCCAAAUAGAGUGUUGUUCAAAAUUGAGACUGCUAGGUAUGGUUAAGGAAACUAUUCCCAAUUUCUCCCAAGAUAGCCAUCUGCAAUUACAGAUUUAUCCAGAAGUAGGUUGUAUUACCACUCAAGCCCGCUGGUAAUACGGGAUCAAAGAAGAGUCCUUUGGUUCUAUUGUUCUGACUUGGAAGCUGAAGUGUACGCUGUGAAAAUACAGUGCUCCCCAAAAAAUCGUUUCUCUGCCCCCAUCUGAAACUGAAACUUUUUUCCAGAUUAUUUGCUCAAAUCCCAGGACUUAUUUUGAAAAAUUGUAUUUUCAUAUAUGGCACAAUCAUUAUCAAGAGACAGUGUCGUGUGCUUCUUUGGGGAAAUUUAGGCAUGGAAAGAAGAGUGUCACAUAUUACUUGGAAUAGGCCACAAUAAUGUCAUUUGAAGCAAACAAAUCAAUUUUCAGUUCCAGUCAGUCAAAUCCAGUCAUUCAUAUGAAAUGUUGCGAUUCACCAUGACUAGUAAAUUCCCAGAUAUUCAAGGGAAGCUGCUGGUAGUAACUCAGUAAUUCUAUAUAACCAAAUGACACCAGAUUAAAGGGUCUUACCUUUACAUGAUAGCUUACAUAAGCAUGAAAUGUCAACAAAUUCCAAACUGUUCUAUCUAGCUUUUUACCCUCAACAUGCCGAGGGUAAACAACUGCACAAGUCAAAAGUCUGUGAGGCAAAAUAGUUUUAUGGAGGAACAAGGUAUAUAUACUAGGAAAAGUGUAAAUUACCGAAAGUAACAAAGCCAGCAUUUGCAUUCAGUGCAUCAGCAGAUACUCCUUUUAACUCAAGAGGUGGUGCUGGAGACCACAUACAAGAAGGAACAUUAUUAAGUGCAGCUGUUCGUCUUGCCUCCACAAAUUCCUAAAUUUAAACAAGAAGAAGAAAAAGAGUAAGCAAUGCUCCCAUCAAUUGAGUCCUGCCCGAGGCUGAGUAGGACUGGUCUUUUGGAGCUACAGCCAACAGAUACAGAACUACAGAAGUGCCCAACAGAAAGUAAGAGUUAUAUUUGGGCUUGGAAAACUCCUUAAUUGAUGGGUUGCUGCAUAUAUACAUGCAGUAUGAAUUGUAGCACUAUGAUAGGUUAAAUUGGUCUUUUAGUGUCAAAUGUAGUUGAUACGAUAACCAUAAACGACAAAAGACCAUGAAGAACACUAGGCCAGGAAGCUGAUGAAAGAAACAAAAGGAAGCAUCCAAAAUACCUGCAGGAAGGAAGUUGCUAAAACAAUAUCAAUGGAGUCCUGGAAUCUCAUUGGGUACACAAUAGUAACUUUAUCUGCCUGAAAAAACAACAGUGAAUCCCAUUUGUUGCACAUGAUAAAAUUAGUACAGCACACUUAAGUGAUAAUGUGGUAUUGUUGUUACUAAAGUUAUACCUGGGGAGCAAGGAAAAAAGAUUCAUUAGGCCGAUGAACAAGAGCAACAAGCUUGUCAACAUUAGGCGCAACUGCCUUCGAGGCUAAAUGUUUCAGCAGGAGCUUCAGUGGUGCACCCAGCACAACCUCUCUAAUAGAUGCAAUUUGUGUCAAGAUAGCAUUCCUUUGCUCUGGAAUAUAGUAAAUAAACAAAUGGUUAGAGGCUACAAAUACAGAGGAGAACAUGACUUAAAUAGAAAAAAUGACCACAUUUCAGGAGAUGUCUAUGGCUUUGGCAGGCUUAUCAUAAAUGAAACACCACAGAUCAAGUACUCACUGACCGAAUUCUACAUUCUAAAGAGAAAUACAAGCGCCUAAAUGUAAAGGUGAUGGAUGAAAAAUAGAUUUUUUUUUUCUCGAACACGCAGGAGAGCUGUGUCUCAUUGUAUUAAUAGAAGAAAAAGGAGUCAUACAUAGACCCAAACACACUCACACACCCCUCCACACCUUCCCUGUUUUCUAAGGCUUAAGCACCUGUUUUUGAGUAAACAACGACCGAGCAGGCUAAACAUAUUAUGAUGGCCUGGAAAAACACCACAACACUUCAGCAGUGCAAAGCCAGUUUUAUCCCAAUAAACAGGAAGACAUUUUAGUUUAACUGCACUAAUAAAUUAAGAAUAACAAUUGAUGAACAAAAAAUGUUAAGAUAAUUGGGAUGGCAUUGUGCAACAAAUUGAAAGAUGCAAUCAACAUUAAAUAAAACAAGCAUCUGUAAAAAAAAUGUAAAGAACAAACUGAAUAGACCUAGAGCUCUUUGUUACCCUUUUUUUCUUUGAGGUAACAGUUACUAAUAAUCUAGUAAAGGAUACUUAAAUCAAUGCAAAUCUUAGACAACUAACCGCAUCGUACAUUCGUGUGACAUCAGAAGCAUCUACUCAUAUACAGAGGAAGAUGCUUCCAACUAAGGCCUUGUUUGGAUAUGCUUGUAUUUACCUCCAUCCACAUGUGUUGGGCUGUAUUGGGGUGGAACUUAAACUAAUUUGCACCCCAAUCCACCUCAACACAUGUCGACUGAGAUGAAUACGAGAGUAUCCAAACAAGGCCUAACUACUAUUGAAAUUUUGCCCAACAAAUCUUCUAAAUACGAUUCCUGCACCAAAAGCGGGCUAACCAUCGUGCCACGUCGCCCGUUAAGCCGAGAGCCGCUGGAUCGAGCAAUCAGGCGAUCUGGACCGUUCAAUUGCAGGUCGGUUCGGGCGCUGACCCGUCCAUUGCCCGUUAAGCUAGAGAACCGGGCGCUCGCAAAUCAUGGCCUUCGCAGUACUGACGCCUCCGCCGGCUUCGUCUCUCGCGCAUCCACGGUACGCACGGGGCUGCGCCGGCACGAGAGGGCCCCACCGGUGGAUGCCCCCGGCCCUUGCGCGGCGGCGUGGCCAAACUGGCCAUGCCCCCUCCCUCUCCCGACGUGGGCCCCCGUGGUGGCCAGCCUCUGCCGUGGGCGCGGACGCAUCUCCCCGGCACGCCUAGCUCCCGAUAGUGGCCCUGGGUGGAGCCGCCGUAGCUGCCGCCUGCCGCGCCGGCGGUGGCCACCCUUAGGCGACGCGGCGUGCCUGCGCGAGCCUCGGCGGCGACCGCGCAAGGGUAGCAGGGGCAGCUAGAGCCCCGUCCAUGCUGACCACCACGCUAGGCCUGCGUUGCUUCAGCUCCACCUCGUCCCGUUUGCCGCACUGGCCACUCGCCGCCUGGCUGCGCAGGUCCGGCCUCGCUGUGCGCGCCGUCAAUUGCAGCAAGCGCUGGUGCGUCGGCCUUGCGGCUCCAGCGACAGAAGUGGCCGCAGCACCCAUCCAAUGGGACCUGAACCUCCACUGCAGCCCAUAGAAAAAAACAGAGCAGGGCCGCUGUGAAAGAAUGGCACAGGAAAAUCGGAUGGCCACUGGCGUAGCUCAGCAAGCCAACGGAGCACUGCGCCGCCUGUGGAGCUUCCUGCGUCGCAAGGUAAUGGGUUAAAUAUUGAAAAGUCCAUAUAUCUGUAAUUAAACUAGGAUUCCUGAUAAUCCAGAGUUAAAGCUUCAAAAAAAUUUAAACAAAGAAUGAAUCCUUUGUCGAUAGUUCAGGACAUAUAUGAUUUCUAUUCUUGCCUUCCCGUGGAAGGUUCCUCUUGCAUAGAACUAUUCAUGUUUAGUGAUACUGACAAAGCCUCAGGUACUCAGAUUGGGCAUAAGCAUGAGUUGUUCUUAAUAUCCUUUUUGCAUAUAUAGCCUUCGAGGUUCAGUCAUUGCCAUGCUUCUGUCUCCUUUUGUUAUCAAUCUGUGAGUUUAGAUGUUUGUCUUCUAUCAUAUUGUGCAUUGGCCAAAACUUGGCAGCUCACUCAUUUUGCAAAUUUAUUAGGUUAGUGCAAAUCUAAAUAAAAAAAUUAUGGUAAUUUGGGGUACAGUAAAGCAGGAUGGCAUCAGAGAUCUGUAUUCAUCCCUUAGGCCUUUGCAAACUCAAAUGUGUUUACAUUUUGUGGUUCCUACUGUUAGUGGUCUGAUCAAUGUUAUAAAAUAAGAUUUCAUCUUACUGAUCUUUGAAACAAUACACGAAACAGCAUUUCCCAAACCUUUUAUAGUUCCUUGGUCUGCAUUUCCAUUAACAGAUAAGUAAACAUCUUAGCUAUUUAGUUAUAUCAGUGAGCUAAAUAUCCCUUCAUCAGUUCAGUUUGUUGUACAAAUGGCUAGAAACCAGGUGCAGAUUAGUUUCCAUAUGCAAAAUAAAAAAAAAUUCUUUGUUGGUUACUAUACUAUUCAUAAUUUCAUAUAUGCAGUAAGUUCUUAGGACCCUACUAUUCAAACUGAAAUGUAUGCAUCAGGCAAUUCAUUAUGCACCUACUUGUUGUAUAUUAAACAAAUCAGUUCUUUGUAUGUAUAAUUACCCCCUAACCUGUUGUAUCUCAUUUAUAAUUUUUUUAAAAAAAUAUAUAUUUUGAUUGCAUUUCAACUUCUACCAUUUUUUUGUUAUUUUUUAAUCUGCAUAUUGGGUUGUUCAUUUCUAGAAACAGACCAAAUAUUGAUGUAAACGUUCUCUACCAUUGUCAUUUUAGUUGCUUGGAUAAGUAAACUUUGAUAAAUAAAUGUUUCAUGCAGACCCAACAAUCAGAUUGGUUAGUGAUCCGAACUCAGGAGAUCUCAUAGAGGUUCAGAAACCUGCAAAGGCCAUGGUUUACAUAAGAUAAAAGGUUAGCUCCAAGAAGGUGUCGCAGGUACUAUCCAAACUGAACAAACCUGUGUAUGGGUAAAAUAUGUUGGCACCUGCACACAAGCACCAGGUAAGCAGACCCUGCUCACCUUCCCUCUCCCACUCCCCUGCACCAAGGAAGAGGAAGAGCCCUGAGCUCCCUCACUCACUCACGCAGCACACACACACACACAGCUUUCAGACUUGAACUGAAAGCUGGAGAACUGAAUGAGUGGCAAUGAACUGAGUUUUCCAUUGCAAUAGGUAGGGUAUAUAUACACAAACUAUGUACCUGCUGGUACACUACUUGGAUGGUGACUACACCAGUCCAACAACUACUCUACAUGGCUUAUCUCAGCCAAUACCUACUCUUGUACCAGCCUAAACCAGCCCACUACUCUAGCUGGUGUACUUCUACCAACUAUGGAAGACUAAAUGGCCUAUUGCCAUACUUCUACAGUGGCAGCCGAGAGCUGACCACUUGAACCUGCCGACUGCAGGACAGAAAUGCAAGAGGGACAGCAGAUUAUAUCUUACAAUCUUCCCCUAAUCCUGCUGUGUACUCUUGACGUCCACCAUGCCAAUCUUGCUCCUUAGCUCCAAGAACCGAAGUCGCCCUACUGGCUUAGUGAAGAUGUCAGCGAGUUGUCGACCGGUCUCAACAAACUCGAUGACAAUCUGCUUCUCCUCGACGCAAUCACGCAGGAAGUGGAACUUCACAUCGAUGUGUUUGCUUCGGUCGUGGAGAACAGGGUUCUUCGCCAGCGCUAUUGCUGGCUGAUUGUCCACCUUGAGCACAAGCGGCCGGGGCUCAAUUGCUUCCACUUCAUCUGCGUCGCCCACUCACCGUAGUUGGUGCGGGUGAGCAUGGGCCAGGAGCCGCUGCCACCGAACUCCUUCACCACGUGCACCUCCACCUGCGGUGGCGCCGGCUGGAGCUGUCGCUCGCCACCCUCCCGGCCACCAUUCCGGCCCGCAUCCUCCGCCAUUGCUGGUCAGUGGACCUAGCUACGGCCUGUACGGCUCUAAUACCAAUUGUUGGCACCUGCACACAAGCACCAGGUAAGCAGACCCUGCUCACCUUCCCUCUCCCACUCCCCUGCACCAAGGAAGAGGAAGAGCCCUGAGCUCCCUCACUCACUCACGCAGCACACACACACACAGCUUUCAGACUUGAACUGAAAGCUGGAGAACUGAAUGAGUGGCAAUGAACUGAGUUUUCCAUUGCAAUAGGUAGGGUAUAUAUACACAAACUAUGUACCUGCUGGUACACUACUUGGAUGGUGACUACACCAGUCCAACAACUACUCUACAUGGCUUAUCUCAGCCAAUACCUACUCUUGUACCAGCCUAAACCAGCCCACUACUCUAGCUGGUGUACUUCUACCAACUAUGGAAGACUAAAUGGCCUAUUGCCAUACUUCUACAGUGGCAGCCGAGAGCUGACCACUUGAACCUGCCGACUGCAGGACAGAAAUGCAAGAGGGACAGCAGAUUAUAUCUUACAAAAUAUAGUGCUCAAAACACUUGUACUAUGCUCUUUUGACUUCUAUGCAGCACUACUUAUCUGAGAACGGCAUUACUUCUAUCCAUUUUUUAGCGAAUAUGACAGGUGUUCUGUCGUUUCAUUAAGUUGAAAGCAAAGGUAGUAUUUACAAUGAAUUAAGAGUUAUUGACUUCCUACACUACCCUGCUAGAAUCGGCGACAAAAGUAAAUCACAAAAUUUUCAUUGACUUUCACAGUUUCACCUGCAUAUGUUUCUACAGGUACUAGGAGCUUGGAAUGUUCUUUUUCUAUCUUCCUAUUUUUGCAUUUCAAUACGAAUGUUUCAUAAGCAACAUUUCCGUCAAUUAUAGUCUAGAGCAGCUAUUUUCCCACAUCCUCCAAACUACAUCAGAUUUGAAGUCCAUUAUUUUAAUUAAAUAUCUGCUUCCUGUUUGCAGGUUCAACGCACGCCAUGCACCCUUUCAGAAUGCUAUGGUUCUUCAAACGAAUACUUUUAAGUAAAAUAGCUACGUAGUACUUCUAAUUAAGCAAUACGAUGAAAAAAAAAAGACAGCCCACAACCUCCCAUUUGGCUAUGAAAAGUUCAUAAUACAAGCUCCCAUUCUAAUUUUUUCUCCUUCGUUCAUUAUGAUUAUCACUGUAUUCUUGAUUCACAGCUCCUUCGUUGCAACAAAUGGAAGCUUUGGCCUAAUCCAAAGCCACUUUUGCCUAGAUUAUAUAAAGUUAUUGACACUUGAGGAGGGCUUUAGCAAGACGACGGACAGAGAGACACCAGACACCAAGAAUGACAAAGAUGCGCUCAAGGUCAAAUGCUGGGCCUGCGCGGCAAGGUCGCGCAGCACUUUCUAGUAGCAUCUAAAGAUACACAAACCAUCAACAAGUUUGAACAUGCUGUUCGGCAAGACAGCUAUAACCUUGGAAAUGUUACACUACAUUGAAAUCUACUAUCAGAGAAACUUAAAGAUACAAGAAAGCAUCAAUCAAUUUGAUCAUGCAGCACAACAAGACAAUUAAUAACCUUGAGAAGGGAACUCUAGAACCUUCAUCAAGUGGAAGUUUUGUCAAAUUUAUCUUCAUUGUGAGAUCAAACCCAUCCUUUGGAGGAUCAAGAAUCUGCACAACUGGCCCAUAAGCUGCUUUUAUAGCUUCAAUGGCACCAAGUGGAAGCCCAUCAUACAAAAUCGCUUCAGGAGGUGGCAGAGGCAAAGCAACUGACAACACCAUUACCUUUGGAUUCCUCAUAGAAAACUGAAAUCAAAGCUCAGAUUCAUUAGAAUUGUGAUAUUGAGCAUCAGACAGGUGAUAGUCCUAAUGUCUAGUGUGUACAUGAAGAGUGAUGUCCAUAUUCAUUUCAGAAAAUAAGAAAAUGCAGCUUCCACACCCAAGAACUUGAAAAAUAGACAAAAACCUGCUUAAAGUAGAACAAUAUCAACCUAUAAAUUUGAACACACUUUCAGCUGAAAUAGUAAUGCUCAAACACUAGCAAGUCCAUACAUGUUAUAUUACGAAAGACAGACAAAACCUUUACUUGCACCACUAAGUGCUUGUGACUAAUUAUAUGGUUGGUAUGCAGUGUUAUGGCAACCAUUCAGUAUAUGGAAAAACUCAAGAAGUGAGAAGGUGACAGCAUUUUAUUCAUUGCUCUUGUUGUUACUGUUGUUGUGAGCAAAUAGGUAAUUCGAGGUUAAAAGGGAAAUGCUAUCAAAUGGCACAUACCAAACUGGGAAGAAUAGACCAAUUAACUACUGAAUUGUUGUUAUUGUUAUGGCAAGUGGAGCCUGCCCAGGGCCCAUGCGGUACUGUAGCGCGUGAACAGUACCGCAUGGGAUUAGAUUGGUUUGGUUUGUUAGGAAAGAGAUAAGUUAGAUUGAUUCGGUUAGGAUAUUUCUUAGGAGUCAAGUCAGCCACCUUAGGAUUAACUGUUUAAUUUGUACCAAAACCAACCUCGCCAAAAGUUAGCUACCCUAAGAAUUUGACACUGAUUAGGAUUGAUGCCAAAAUCUGUCAAGCCAUUGCCACCAUGGUGGUAUAAGGCCCUAUUUAGAUACAGCCAAACAGCCAAAACUUUUGGAGAAAUGAGCACUUUUUGGGAGAAUGAAUCUAAACAGGGGCCUGUAAAACUUGGGCUGUAAAGAUUUGGAAUUUGGGACCUUAGAGCCCCAAAACUGUGUAAACUUGCUUAGGGGCCCGUGUCUUGCGUGUCUUGUGUGUUGCAGACCAAAAAAAUUGGGAAGCAUCUAAACACCCCAAAAGUUUUGGGAUGUAAAGAUUUGGGAUCUAAACAGGCCCUAAGUAUAUCAUCUAUUUAUUGCCGAGACUUGGCACAGUGGCCACUGCUUUGGACACAAAUCUAUGCGACAAUAUAGAGCUCACCUGGAUAUGAUACCGGACAUCAUCGAACUCUACAGUGUGACAGUCGAUGUCUAUGCCCUUCUCGCCGCUGCAUCGCACCGACAUCGCAUGAAAUGAAAUUAAAUGAGAUUAAUGCAAACAACCAUGCCACCAGAAGCAAGAUGUGAUUCUGUUCUCUCUAAGCGAAAGCAAGGUGGCAGCGAGCGACAUACCUGAGAACACGGUCUUGCAGGAUCUGGAGCAGGAACCUCGACGGGGACUGGAGCAGUAUCAUCUUCCACGGCUCUCCUCCCCCUCCUGUCAACCAGCCAUGCGUCUCAACCCAACCAAAUUCUCUCAGUUCCAGAAGUGUGCAGCAGUAAGAUAAUGACACGCUGUAGUUUCGCACUGAGGCUUAAAUUUCAUUUACUGAUCAUUUAGAUGGAUCCAAACAUUAGAAAUUCCAACAUUUAAACGCUACCUCAAAAUAAACAUUAUUGUCAGUGAGAAUGGCAUUAUUGCAGUGACCGAUCCCAAGUGAAAUAUAUCCCAUUCCUACCUUUAUAGGAACGAACAUUAACAAUUUGAGUCUGUUGGUAUCCUAACUUGACAAAAAUUUGUCUAUUGUGACCCAAUUGACAAGCAAUAUCAUCUCAUGCAAACAACAGCAUACAUAUCGGAUAAUGGGAAAUCAAAUACUAGAAUUGCUAGGCGCUAGGGUCUACCUUGGCAAAGGACGCCCAGAUCUGGACGCCGACGAUGACGAGGAUUGGGUAUGAGCAGUAGCCGACGACAGAAGAGGACGCGGGGGCGACUUUGCUGGCCGACGCCGGCUUCUCUCCCUUCCGUCACGGCAGUUCAACUACACUGCCGGGCCUGCUGCAGGAACGGGCCGGAACGUGUGUGGUGCUCCUGCACUGCACAGCGGAGGGAGGAGAGAGAAGAGUCGCUGGCGCAGCGCUGGCUUCACGGUCGCCUCCGGUGCGCCGACGCUUGCUAUGUCGAGGCCUCCACGGUGGAGGCACAGGCACGGAUGGAGGGGAGCACACGUGCGAAUGGACACGCCUCGUCCCAACCGGCCAACCCCGAGUGGGAUGGGCCCGCGUCGAAUUUGCACCUCCGUCCCCUCCGUCUGAAUUUAUUUAAAAUAUAUUUCUAUAUUUAAACCUAAUUAAUACUUUUAAAUUUAACUAAAUUUAUAUAAAAUAGUAUUAAUAUUUAUAUCUUUAUAUGUUUUAUUACUAUUAGAAUAUUAUUAUAUGAUUAAUCUAAUAAUAUAUAUUUAGUAUUAUAAAAGUUAGUUUUUAUAGAUUUAGUUAAAUCUAGAAUUGUUUGAUUACUUAAAAAAGGAGGAUUGCGCCUUUUAUGGGGAGAGUUUUAGGGAUGGAAACUGUUGAAGAAAUCCUCUAGCUACUUUUUAUUUUAUAUCUUUAUACACGGAAACAAAAUUAGAAUUAGGAUUACUCGAUCGAAAAAACAAAAACGAAAUAUUCGGGACGUCGAAAAUUAGUGCAGUCAGAUUCACACUGAUAACAGUGAGGAAUGAUAAAUUGAAUGAGGAACACCGACACAUGUAACCACUUCAAAUUAGCUCAACACAAUAAAUUUAAUAAAUCAUAACAAAUUUAAUAAAUCACAACAAUAGAAAAAAAGGUCCAUUAUAGUCUAAAUAACUAACAAGUUCUAGUUCCAGCCGCACAGGCAAACAAGUAAACAACCAAAGUCCAAUUCAAUUUGGAGAUAGCAAGUGCUAAUAAGCAAAAGAAUUAUAAAGAAAACUCGAUUCACAGUGCCUAGACAGACGCCUUAAGAAGAAGAUCUUCUCAUACAAAUCGAGCAAAUCUCUAAACCCAGCCCCACCCAUACACAGCGGUACCGUAGCUUCAUGAGAUAAGUUGCCCACAAGCCUGUACUUUGGAUGUUGGAUAGAUAAAUAAGUUUUUUUCCUCCUAGUUGUUGUGGGUCGAAGCCACAGAUAAAGAGUGGGUCUUUUAUGACUCGAACUCUAACACCCUAGGGGUACUUAGCAUGCACUUCCCUCGCUGAAGCUAUAAAACAACAUCAUAAGACAACUCAACUUAGUCAAAGCCAUAGUCCAGGUCUCCUGCAUUGCGUCUCUUCACCUCUUUAUCAUUGUCAGCGACUUAAUCAUCCUACAACAAGGCAAAUGGCAAUGGUAAAUGUUGUAGUAGUACACAACAAAGAAAAUAGAGGUUUAAAUAAGCUCGUCUUUCAUUUAUAUUGGUUAAACAUUAGAAUAAGUUGUGGGAGAAAUAGAUAAUGGCAAAUGUGUUGAACAUGCACCAUGAAAAGCUACACCUCAAGCAUGAACUUUGAUGCAAUGGUAUCAAUAACUUCAAGAUCAUCAACUAUGGAACCAACUUUUCUUAUCUAAUAAAAGAAGGAGUAUAAACCAGCAAAUAAGGAGUUUUGCGGAGGUUAAACAAAAAAUAGGAUGCUUUAUUAGCUCAUCUUGAUGCAUAAACCUAAUCCUCGAGCAGAUAAAGGCUUCAACUAUCUCAAGGUCAAGACAAAUAAAAAAGGGUCAAUUACACGGCCACCAACACUAAAUGCAGAGUUGAGACUUGAACAUCUAGCAAACUAGAAAGAUUCCCAUACGUUGCCACAAGUAUGAAGAAGAUGUAUGUGUAUGGUAUUGAUAAUGCAACAAUAUAUGUUAGUAAGUAAAUUGGUUUGUUAAUGUGAAUAGCUUGAAUGAAGAUGUAAUGGCAUAUGUUAGUUUUAUAUGUUAGUGGAUGCUGAUGUGUAUAUUUUGCAUUGUGGGAUAGUUGAAUGUGUUAUGUGCUAGUGGGAUGUUUUAGUAGAUACUAAUGUGAAUAGUUUGCAUGCCAAGAGAAAUAGCUAGUGAGAUUUAUCUUUAUAGGAGAUAUAGAUCACACAUUAUUUGUGAGAGAGUAGGAAAUUCUUGAAUCUGGUUCUUUCACUACGCCAAGAUAUCAAACUAACCACUACAUCUCACAUUUAGAUUUGCUAUAUAUUUAUCUAUCUCAUUUAAUUCAUCUCCAUCACUCUAUGAUGUUUGAUAUAUUUAUCCAGCUCAUUUAGUUGAACAUGAACAAUAAAAUUAUUAGAUGAAAACACGUUUAGUUGAACACUUGGACAUAAAAAAUAAAAAAAGCAGAAUAAAAAAAGAAAACAUAAUUGAACUUAACUGAAACCAGAGAAAACAAAAAAAAGAAAUUGAAAGAAAGAUAUGAAAAAACAUCUAAACAUAAAAAAAUCAGAGAAAAAGUAUGGCUGACAAGGACUCAACUAAAUUUUGAUUGUCUUCUAAUAUAGAGAAUGUAACAAAGCAAUCCGCAAACUAGCUGUGUUGGGUUCUUGUUGCAUUGAACAAGUAGUACACGCCUUUCGCUCUUGAUAGUGUUACGUAAUUGUUGCUAACGAUCUGUUACACAUGAGUAAUGAAUUCACACCCUAUUCAAAAAGAAAAAAACCAUACCAUUUUGUUUUUCACUAUAGAAAAUAAUAUAACAAUGUUAGGACCUGUUUAGUUCCUCAUUUGAAUCAAAAAAAUUUUAGGCUUCGACGCACUAUUCUGUAGAAUGGAACUAAAUACCAUCUAAAUUUUUUGGUAAAAUGGUUGCCAUUUUAUAUUCUAAUUUUUUGCCUCAAGAUCCAAAAAACCCCUAAAAGAGUAGCUUCAUGUAUUUUAGACCCUAAAAUUUUUUGUAUUCUAGAUUGAACUAAACAUACCCAUAAUUUUUUGACAUUUUACAUUUUAUUAUUCCAAAGUACGUAUUUUAUAUUUUGCAUUCCACGAGGUUCUCUUCUUAGGCCAGCCAGGCCCGCACCAGCCAGCCAGGCCAUCUUUGACCAGGCUCAAUGCAUGCAACACCCUUUUGUCUGACUGCAUGCACGAGAACAACCAGGCUAGCUCCAGCUGGUGUUUGGUUGCCUGCAUUUGCUUUUUAUUCAAAAACUGGCCAACAGAAACUGUGUUUGGUUGUCUACACCAAGGUUGAUAUGGUCACCAGUUUACACCUAUGGUAUGCUUAUCACGAGAAUACACAAAUUAGCAUGAAACUGAUAGCAGGUUAACAUCAUUGGGUUUAAUAUAAGAAUGAUUUGCAAAAUAAAAUCAAGGACUCAACUAGCAUUCCAUAUAGGGAUCGAAGAACUCAACAUGAAUAAUAGAAAACACCCCACAAUGUUAUGCAUCUUCAUUGGUCAAAUAGAAGGAAAGACAAGCAAAAAUAGAAAAAAAGUAGUUCACGUGUUGGUCUCAGCUUUUUUAUCAAGUGCUAUAGCAUAAGAACAUGUCAAUGUUGGCUGUCUAAUAAAUGAGAAGAACACAAACCAGCACAAGUUAUUUCGAGCAACCCAAACUCAUCAUUGAGUGCCAUCAACUUGAGGUGUAUCCAAGAGUUGCAUUCGAGUCGAUGAUGCUAGAACAUUUGAUGAAUCCCAUGACAAAAACAACAGCAACAUGAAAUAUACACAACAUACAACCACCUCAACUAAGUACCAUAUGCAUCAUCAUUGGCCAAAAAAGAUCAAUUAACAGAGCAUAGCACCACUAAGUACCAUAUGCAUCAUCAUCGCACAUUGCAUAUUAAAGGGAGAGGCGAGAGGGGGAUUAGAUGAACAAAGUACCCACGUCAACAAGGUGGAGACCCAGCAAAGCACAACAACAGUUAAGGAGGUAAAUCUGCAAGCGCAAAUCCAAAACAAACAUGAUUUGCAUACACAAGUUAGGAUUUUAUAAGUUAUAACCAAAACAAAAAUAAAAAAUAAAAAAACACACAUGGGGACGGAUCCAUACCUUAAAAUUAACUAAGAAAUCAGAUCUGACGUGCCUACAGCCACAUCAACAACAAAUGACACCUAGGGUUUCCAAAUCGAUAACAAAAAUAGAGAAAAAAGAGGCGAAAACUCUCUUGCUUCGAGAGACAUAGAUCCACGAGACCGGUAACAAAUCCAAAUAGAAGGAAAGCAUUAGCAUGCCACGAAUCGAUCAAGAGCAAAGGUUCAGAAUAGAGGACGAAGGGGAAGAACAUGAACCCUAGAAACCGGAGUGCAUACGAGAACCGACAGGAAGAGAAGGAGGAAGCGAGAACAUAUGUCACACCCAGAUGUAAAAGAGCAUUCGGGUGCCAAAUCACAUGUGCGCCAGGAUCUCAAAUUCACACACAUGGACCGACAUCAUCAAUGGUACAAAACACAGUGUUCAAACGAAUUACAUAAAUGAGAGUAAAUGUACCAUUAUUACAAGCCAAAAGUUUAUCAAAGUGCGAAGGGGAAACAUAAGCUAAACUGUUCCAUAAAUAAAAGGGAAACUAAACGCCGACGCAGCAGGUCCACCUUGCCACAGGAAGGUCGACGGCAGAACCACACGAGCCUAACAACCGGGAGACUCAGGGUAGUCCUCAGGAAAAUCACAAUUGUACUCCUGAUCGUCCGAGCAACCUUUAAUGAUUAUAGCAAGGGUGAGCUCAUGUCGAACUCAGCAAGCACAGACGGAAAGUAAUGACAUGCAAGGCUUAAAACAAGGUAAAGCUGACUUGGUUUGACUGCGGUAGCAUUUUAGUUGAUCACUUUAAUUAUGACUAUUAACAGAACAACCUAUUACUACUUAUGAGUAGCAUAAACCCAACCCUUAAUUAGUGUAAGUAGUAAUUAGCAUCUUUUAAGUACUAUCCUAAAUAUUAUAGUAAUCCAGGGAUUAACCCCAAUUAUUAACACAGGAUAGCAAUCCUGCCAACACGGAAUAGCCAUUCCGCCAAAACACGAGGUAGCAACCUCGCCAAGUUCCAUCUCCAAGUAUCCAGUGAAUCCAAUUUGCUCAUCAAGUGAGGGUCUGGGCCGCUCGUGACCGUGAGCACGGCUGAUAUAUCAGUUUUACACUCUGCAGAGGUGUGCACUUUCACUCCAAGUCGUGAUUCCCAUUUGCCCGGGGUCGCGACUCCCCAAAACACUUCCAAGGUGAGCAGGCAGGGUUUCACUACGAGACCUUUCACAGGGUCCAACUAAUAGGAUGCCACUCGCAAGUUUUUGCCGGGGCGCUCGAUAGUCGAUACCCAUAGCCAUGGCGUACCGAUCAACCGACAACUUAAUAUUCAUUACCCAAGUUACUUCCUCACGCCUACCCGAAAAAUAACACCCUACUAGUGGAGGUCCCGCUAAUUAGUCAAGCCAGAGCCGUAUAGCUUGGAGCUGCACUGUAAGUCCCAGGGGGCCGCUCCCUGACUAAGUCCUUACGAAGAGCAGAGACGGGUACGCCCGGCAAACCGGACCACCAACGGUACCCGCUCCCCCUGUCCCCACCAUCAUCACGAUGCUCGCAAGCAUCCAACAUCGCCAUCACCGCAGUGACCAAAGGUUCAGCACAGUUUAAGCAUCAAGUUGAGUAGAGAUUAUUACUUGUUUAGGCAUGUGUAUAAGAUGAGUAGAGCAGCUAAGCAAACCUAGUAUAACCUAGACUACCCAUACACAUAACCCCAGGUGAACAAGGAAUGGUAAGUAAUGCUAGUCAUGUCCUUAGGGUUUGCAUUCAUUGGACACAUGCAUGUAAAGUAAAUGACAUUAGUGAAUAGGUUCAAAAUGAUCAAACGGUGUCUGCACUUGCCUUGAUCGAUGUCGGGUUGCUCGAACUCAGCGGGAUCCUGAACCUCUUCCUUCACGAACGUCUCGUUGGCUAUACGCGACAAUCAUCAAUCAUAGGAACAAUACAUGCAGGCAAACAAACUUAAUAAGAAACAGUACACCAAAGCAUGCGAAAACAGAAAGCAACUGCACUACUGUAUUCUACUCGACGAAACGAAACCAUGGCGACCAGAAUCACCUAAAUCGGAGUUACAAUGCAAAAGUUAUGGCUAAAACAAGUUGAAUGGCAUUUAUGUAGAUAAACUGAACUAUUUUUCGUAAUAAAAACUAAUUAAAAACUGAAUUAAAACUCAUUUUGGAUUAAAUCUGCAAAAUCCGAUGGCUACAGGGGCUAUUAAGCAAAACCAGGGGCACAUUUCUAAUUAUUUUUGAACUCAGCUGGGCCGCGGGUUAAUUUCAAAGAAAGGCAGGGGCCUUUUUGUAAAACGGCAGGGGCGCGCGGGCUGGCCGGUCCACGGCACAGUGCGGUGGACCGGGGCGCGGGGCAGGGCGGCCGCGGUCCAUGGUGGACCGCGCCUGCGGGAGAGGCGUCGGCGGCUGCGUGGACCCGGUCCACGUGGACCGGCCACACAGGGGCGCUGGGCCGCGGUCCACGGUGGACCGCGCGCUGGUGCGGGGCGGGUGCGCGCGCAGGGCGGCCGGCGGGCGGCGGUGGCGCCAUUGGCGCCGCUCGGAGCUCGCCGCGGCGGCGGUUCGUGGCGCGGGGAGGCGAGCCAAGGGCACCAGCGGGUGCGGCUCGGCGAGACAAGCGCGUUGGAGGGCUCACCUCCGAGAAACGAUGACGGCAAAGAGAAGCUCGACGGCGGCGGCGCGGAUUUCGACGAAAAACGGCGACGGCUCGGUUUCGGCGAAAACGGUGGCGGCGUGAGCUAGGGUUUUUGGGGGGCGUGCGGGCGGCCGAGGGACGCUAUUUAUAGCGCGGGCGAACCUCGGGGCGCGGGUUUUGCGCGGAAGCCGAGGAGGAGGCCGCGCGGCUGUUGCUCCCGUCCGAUUCGGACGGAGCUCGGGGAUGACAGGUGGGUCCCACCUGCGGGGCCCACCGGUCAGCGAGUGGGCGAGAGGGGAGCAGGGUGCGCUGCGGCUGGGCGGGUGAGCUGGGCCGCGGCAGCGGCUUGGGCCGGGGGGAGAGGCGCUGCCCCUUUUUCUUUUUUUUAGAAACAAAUUGCUUCUCCUAUUUAAUUCUUUCUCCCACCAAAAUAAAUGCAAGCACCAGCAAACAAAUCAAACAAAAAUAAGUGCAGCAGCAUGAAUGCACACAAACAUGUUUUCUACCUUAUAUUUAAUUUUAUUUAAUUUUGUAAAUUAUUUAAUAAUUCCAAAAAUUCAAACUGAGCCAAAAUUAAAUCAAAUUUAAACUAAAUUUGAAAUUCAAAAAUUUGGAGUGUUAUAAACCUACCCCCUUAAAAGAAUCUCGUCCUCGAGAUUAGGAUGAACCAGAGAAUAACUGAGGGUAUUUGGAUAUUAGAUCAUCUUCUCUUUCCAGGUUGCUUCUUCCUCAGAGUGAUGUUUCCAUUGUACUUUACACAUCCUGAUAGUUUUACUCCUGGUAAUUCUCUCUGCUGUGUCCAGAACUUUGAUAGGACUCUCUUCAUAAGUUAGAUCAUCCUGUAAAUCCAGUUCCUCUAGUGGCAACUCUUCCUCAGGCACUCUCAAGCAUUUCUUGAAUUGGGAGACAUGGAAGACAUUGUGCACAUUGGAUAAACUAACGGGCAGCUCAAGCUCAUAAGCCACCUCUCCUUUUCUUUCCAAGAUCUUGAAAGGACCAACAUAUCUUGGAGCUAGCUUUCCCUUGACAUUGAACCUCUUUAGACCCCUCAUCGGAGACACUUUCAGGUAUAUAUAAUCACCUGCCUGAAACACAAGUUCCCUUCGUCUCACAUCAGCAUAACUCUUCUGUCUAGACUGAGCUGCUUUCAGAGUCUGUCGGAUGAACUGAACUCUUUCUUCGGCUAUUCUCAAUAAAUCCGGGCCGAACACUUGCCUUUCACCAGUCUGGUUCCAGAACAAUGGAGUCCUACACUUCCUUCCAUACAAAGCUUCAAAAAGAGUCAUCUUAAGACUAGUCUGAUAACUAUUGUUAUAGGAGAACUCGGCGUAGGGCAAACUAGUAUCCCAACUAUCUCCAUACUGUAAAGCGCAAGACCUGAGCAUAUCCUCUACUAUCUGGUUGACUCUCUCUGUCUGACCAUCGGACUGAGGGUGAUAAGCAGUACUGAAUCUGAGCUCGGUUCCCAAAGCAUCAUGUAACUUCUCCCAAAACUUUGAUGUAAACUAUGUACCUCUAUCAGACACAAUCCUCUUAGGAACUCCAUGCAGACACACAAUCCGUUCCAUAUACUUUUCUGCUAACUGAUCUCCACGGUAGUUAGUUCUGACCGGUAUGAAAUGAGCUACCUUGGUCAAUCGAUCUACUACAACCCAUAUUGAGUCAUAACCUCGUUGAGUUUUCGGCAAUCCCACUAUGAAGUCCAUGUUGAUCUCAUCCCACUUCCACUCAGGUAUCUUCAAUGGUUGCAACAAUCCUGCUGGCCUCUGAUGUUCCGCUUUCACUCUCUGACAGGUGUCACACAAUGCCACAUAUUCACCAAUAUCUUUCUUCAUACCAGGCCACCAAAAGUUUUGUUUCAAGUCCUGGUACAUCUUGGUACCUCCUGGAUGAAUAGAGUAAGCAGAUUCAUGACACUCCUUCAGUAUCACAUCCUUGAUUCUCUGAAUAUCAGGCACACACAAUCGGUCCUUGUGCCAAACAAUUCCUUCUUGAUCAACUUUGAAUCCUGGUGCUCUACCUUCCUCUAUCAGCUUAAGUAUCUUUUUGAUCUCUUCAUCCUCUUUCUGACCUUUUCUGAUCUCUUGCUCAAGAGUUGGUUCUAUGUCCAUGGAAGUACCUUGGGUAUUAGCAACAAACCCCAAAUUGAGAUACUCAAAUUCUGCCAGUAGUUCCAUCGGUAACUCUGUGGCUUCCAACAUAUUCACUUGACUCUUUCUACUCAGAGCAUCAGCAACUACAUUAGCCUUGCCAGGGUGGUAAUGAAUUUCCAGUUCAUAGUCCUUGAUCAAUUCUAACCAUCUUCUCUGUCUCAGGUUCAAGUCAUUCUGAGUGAAGAUGUAUUUCAGACUCUUGUGAUCCGUGUAGAUAUCACACUUAUGACCCAGAAUAUAGUGUCUCCAGAUUUUCAGUGAAUGGACCACAGCUGCUAACUCAAGAUCAUGAGUUGGAUAAUUCACCUCAUGUUUCUUCAACUGCCUAGAUGCAUAGGCAAUCACCUUUCCCUCUUGCAUCAGUACACAUCCCAAACCUUGCUUGGAAGCAUCACAAUAGAUAGAAAAACUUUUAGUCACAUCAGGCAAAGUCAGAAUUGGUGCAGUAGUCAACCUCUUCUUCAACUCCUCAAAACUAGCCUGACACUGUUCAUUCCACUUGAAUGGCUUACCCUUCUCUAACAAAGCGGUCAUGGGCUAGGCAAUACUGGAAAACCCUUCAAUGAACCUCCGAUAGUAACCAGCCAUUCCAAGAAAACUUCUGAUCUCUCCAACAGUCUGAGGUGGACUCCACUUAAGAACAUCUGCCACAUUCUUCGGACUCACAGCAACUCCACCAUUUGAAAUGACAUGACCAAGAAAAGACACUUCCUUCAACUAGAAGUCACACUUACUCAACUUGGCAUAGAGCUGAUGUUCCCUCAAUUUCUGCAACACAAGUCUCAGGUGUUCCUCAUGUUCUUCCUCAGUCUUGGAGUAGAUCAAGAUAUCAUCAAUAAAGACUACCACAAACUUAUCCAAAUACUCCAUAAAAACUUUAUUCAUCAGAUACAUAAAGUAAGCUGGAGCAUUAGUCAAUCCAAAAGACAUAACUGUAUAUUCAUAAAGUCCAUAUCUGGUGGUGAAAGCAGUCUUUGGAAUAUCACUAGGUUUAAUCCUCAACUGGUGAUAACCUGACCUCAGAUCUAUUUUGGAAAACACACAAGCUCCUUUCAACUGGUCAAACAAGUCCUCUAUUCUAGGCAAAGGGUAUUUAUUCUUAAUUGUGACCUCAUUCAAAGAUCUAUAGUCUACACACAUCCUCUGUGUCCCAUCCUUCUUCUCUACAAAAAUAACUGGAGCUCCCCAAGGUGAGGAACUAGGACGGAUAUACCCCUUCGACUGUAACUCCUUUAGUUGUUUCUUAAGUUCUUCUAACUCAUUAACAGCCAUUCUAUAAGGUCUCUUAGAUAUGGGUGCAGUACCAGGUAAUAAAUCAAUAACAAAUUCAAUCUCACGUUCAGGUGGCAUACCUGGCAAAUCCUCUGGGAACACAUCAGGGAACUCUUUCACAACUCGAAUAUCUUCUACUGACCCACUGCUCACAUGGUAAACUGUUCCUUCACUGCUAGGUGACAUAGAAACUCUGACCUCAAUUCUGUUCCCACUAGGUGCUGUUAGAGCCACUGUCUUCUCAGCACACUGAAUAGUACCCUUAAACUUGGACAACCAUCUCAUUCCCAAUAUCAUAUCUAAACCUUCUGAGCCCAACACAAUAGGAUUGACAGGAAAAUCUACCCCCCUUAUUUUAAUGCUCAUUCCGGACACAAAGUAUUAGUAUGCAUCUUUCCCCCAGGUGAUUUAACUAUCAUGGUGUUUUGCAUGGUACAGGUGGCUAUACUAUGUUUCUCAACAAACUGUGCACUUAUAAAAGUAUGUGAUGCUCCAGUAUCGAACAAAACAGUAGCUGGGCAAGAGUUGACAAGGAACGUACCAACUACCACAUCUGGAGCCUCCUCAGCAGUUUCCAGCUUCACAUGAUUCACCCUUCCAUUGUUGUUGUUAUUCUUCUGCCUCUGGGGGCACGCAUUCGCGUAGUGUCCAAGCUGACCACACUUGAAGCAGGUAUUUCAAGUGGGGGUGGGGUUGGCGUUGGGAUUUGCUGGGACAGCGUUGGAGUUCUGGCGAGAGCCUGAUGGUGCUGGGGCAUUCUGACGAGACGCCUGACUAGCGGGGCGCUGCACUUGGUUGUUGUUGUAGCGCUGGCUCGUCUGCUGACUCUGAUUGCUGUACCUGACAUUCUGCUGCUGUCCAUGGUUGCCUGACUGAUAUGCAGGGCGAGACUGAGGGCCCUGCUGGUUGUUGUAGCGGGGACGGCUGGCACCAGCCUGCUGCUGAGAGGAGUUAUACUUCCUCUUCUUGUCCUCCAUCUUACGGCGCUUGCUCUCAAGCACCAAUGCCCUGUCCACCAUCUCCUGGAAACUAGCAUACUUGACAUUUGACAUCAUGUAGGACAGACCAUCAUUCAAACCUUCCAGGAAGUGGUCUUGCUUGUCUUCAUCAUUCUCCACUUCAUUGGGGCAAUACCGCGACAACUGAGUGAACUUGUCACGGUACUCACAAACUGUCAUGGAGCCCUGCUUCAGAGACAGAAACUACUUCUUCUUCAGCUUCACCAAUCCAGCAGGCACAUGAUGAGUCUUGAAGGCGACCUUGAAGUCAUCCCAAGUGAUAGUAUCCGGGUCCUGGUGUGCAAAGCAGUACGAAUCCCACCAGUCCUGUGCGGCUCCCUGAAGCUGCCCAGAGCCAUACAGAACCUUCUCCCUGUCAUUGCACUGAGCAAUGACCAGCUGCUUCUCCACAGCUUUAAGCCAAUCCUCAGCUUGCAUAGGAUCAACUGAGUGAGAGAAGAACGGUGGACGUCCCUUCAUGAACUCUCCACGCUUGUCCCUAGGUGGGGCAAACGCGUUGUUACCUCCUUGAUGUUGGUUCUGAUUCUGAUUUUAGUUUUGCUGCAUGUGGUUCAUAAUAUGGGCCAUCCCUUGCAUCAGCUGAGUCUGCAUAGUCAUCAACUGCUCUAUGGUCAUGGGCUGAUUCCCCGGAGGAGGAGGGUUGGCAUUAGUCCCGCUGUGAUCAUUGUUGUUGUUGUUGGACUGCCCGUUGUUUCCUCCGUUGGUGUUGCUCCUGGUGUUGACACGCAUCUGAUGUAUAGAAAUAAUAUAAUAAAAUCAGAUGUAGUUCAUAUGUGUAAACCUGAGCUGUAAUGUAAACUGCAAUAUAAUAAUCUUUCCUCAAAGUAUGAACCAGCUGAUAGUCACUUUCCUUUCUCAGUUGAUAAACACAGUACUCAUAACAGAUGUAAUAUAUAGAUACUGAACUGAUCAUGAUAAAGUAAGACUGAUAAGAUAAAGCGAUAUGAAAUAUGAUAAGGCACAAAUAAAGGAGACCGAGGAUAACCCAAACUAGCUAACUCAUAUAAACUUAAUACUUAAUCUUGUUCUUGAUGCGUUGUGGACAUGACCCACAACUCAUCGCACUCAUUACAAAGAACCAAAUCACACCAUUAACACAAUGAUAAAUCAAGUUCUCACACACACCAAGAAAAGCACACUAAGCAAACGACUAAACACUAGACUCGAAUAACUAAGAUCGUGCUAACGUUCUAAGCGUGGCACUAUUUAUUACUAAGCUGGGAAUAGCUCCUAUUCAAUAGUAGUACGAGCGCUGGCAUCUCCAUAGGCUGGAUCUUCACGAGGCGGAGAGAAAGCAGGCCACUGAGGUGAAGGCGGUGGCACUCCAGUGAUCUGAGCCUCCAGCUGCGCUAUCCUCUUCCUGGCGUCGUCCAGCUCCUUCCUGACUUGCUUCAGCUCCACUAGUGAACUGUUGAGCUCGGUGUUAGUGACCGCCACCAGCUUGACAGUCCUGUGCACGCGGGGUCUUGCUCAUCAGUGGUGGAAGCAAUAGUCAUCGCCAACUCUCCACGGCGACGGCGAGGGUAGUAGCGGCGCUCAUCCUGGCUGAUCUCCUCGAAGAAGUGAUCACGGUAUGCGUAGAAAGCCUGACGAGCAGCAUCAUUAAUGCCCGUCAUCUGGGUAGACCUCUCUGCCACAGCUUCAUGUAUGGACAUGAUCCUUAGUGCCCUCAGCGUCGGGUUAGGCCUGCUGACGUGUGCCCAGACCUUCCAGUACGCCGGGUAGUCUGGGUGACUCCAGUGCUCACUGCGGUACUCCACUGAGAACAUGCCAUGUCCUAGUUGCUGGUCAAGGAGACGCUUCAGCUCGCUGUGGAAGAAACACUCUCCACCAUCCCUUGUGCAGACUGUCACAAUCCACCCAUCAUCAGCAGCAAAAAGUCCAUCUUGACCUCCAGGUCCUCCAGGUCCACCGGGUCCUCCAGGUCCUCCAGGUCCUCCAGGUGCAUCCUCAUCAUCAUCAUCCAUGUCAUCAUCACCGAAGGGAUCAUCUUCUCCAGCUGCCCAGCAAGGCCCCCUUCCAUGCACCACUAGAGCUUGAGGUGGUUGUUGUCCUUCAUAAGGUUCCGCGUCUUGGAGGUUAGCACCGUCAUCAAGGUGCUGGUUAGGCUGGAACACGAUGUUAUCCACGCGACCAGUCAACGAGAACUCCACAGCUUGAACGGGGCGGAAACGAAUAACGCUCUUGCGGCAGAUCAGAUGGCGAGUCAUCUACUUAUGCAUAAGAUCAUAGACAUGCAGGAAACGGUUAAAAGAUCAUGACAAUGAUAGAUAAAUGAAUAACAUAAAUGAAGGUAAAAGUGUAUGUGUAAAGAAGAUGAACCAAGAUUAUACAAUGGAUGGACAAUAUGAACUUUGGUGGUAUUUAUGGUAAGAUAUGAAAACAAGUAAUGAAGGUAUAAAGUAAAAACAAGGUAAUGAAAUUUAUUGUCAAGGCAGAAAUAAAACAUAACUCAAGUAAUAAAUGAAAAAAAACAAGGAACAAAAAGGUAAUAUGAGUAGAAUGAUAAUAAAUGACAAGGUAUAAAAGAAAGGUUCAAAUAACAAGUAGUAAAAGUUGAAUCAAGAAUAUAAAUGCAAUAUGAGAAAUAGAAAGCAAUAAAUGAUAACAAGGUAAUAAAUGCAGGAAGUAAGUGAAUAAACUGAACUGUUAGUAAAAGUAAGUAGAUAAGGCUAAUAGAUAAAGUCUAAUGAGACAGGUUAGUAAGGCAGUUAGUAGAUCCAAUGGUGUAUUCCACCCAAAAGGGACAAUCUAAACGGCUGUUUCUAGCUAGGCUGCGUGAUCCUACGGUCAACACGGCUUUGGUACCACUUCUGUCACACCCGGAUGUAAAAGAGCAUUCGGGUGCCAAAUCACAUGUGCGCUAGGAUCUCAAAUUCACACACAUGGACCGACAUCAUCAAUGGUACAAAACACAGUGUUCAAACGAAUUACAUAAAUGAGAGUAAAUGUACCAUUAUUACAAGCCAAAAUUUUAUCAAAGUGCGAAGGGGAAACAUAAGCUAAACUGUUCCAUAAAUAAAAGGAAAACUAAACGCCGACGCAGCAGGUCCACCUUGCCACAGGAAGGUCGACGGCAGAACCACACGAGCCUAACAACCGGGAGACUCAGGGUAGUCCUCAGGAAAAUCGCAAUUGUACUCCUGAUCGUCCGAGCAACCUUUAAUGAUUAUAGCAAGGGUGAGCUCAUGUCGAACUCAGCAAGCACAGACGAAAAGUAAUGACAUGCAAGGCUUAAAACAAGGUAAAGCUGACUUGGUUUGACUGCGGUAGCAUUUUAGUUGAUCACUUUAAUUAUGACUAUUAACAGGACAACCUAUUACUACUUAUGAGUAGCAUAAACCCAACCCUUAAUUAGUGUAAGUAGUAAUUAGCAUCUUUUAAGUACUAUCCUAAAUAUUAUAGUAAUCCAGGGAUUAACCCCAAUUAUUAACACAGGAUAGCAAUCCUGCCAACACGGAAUAGCCAUUCCGCCAAAACACGAGGUAGCAACCUCGCCAAGUUCCAUCUCCAAGUAUCCAGUGAAUCCAAUUUGCUCAUCAAGUGAGGGUCUGGGCCGCUCGUGACCGUGAGCACGGCUGAUAUAUCAGUUUUACACUCUGCAGAGGUGUGCACUUUCACUCCAAGUCGUGAUUCCCAUUUGCCCGGGGUCGCGACUCCCCAAAACACUUCCAAGGUGAGCAGGCAGGGUUUCACUACGAGACCUUUCACAGGGUCCAACUAAUAGGAUGCCACUCGCAAGUUUUCGCCGGGGCGCUCGACAGUCGAUACCCAUAGCCAUGGCGUACCGAUCAACCGACAACUUAAUAUUCAUUACCCAAGUUACUUCCUCACGCCUACCCGAAAAAUAACACCCUACUAGUGGAGGUUCUGCUAAUUAGUCAAGCCAGAGCCAUAUAGCUUGGAGCUGCACUGUAAGUCCCAGGGGGCCGCUCCCUGACUAAGUCCUUACGAAGAGCAGAGACGGGUACGCCCGGCAAACCGGACCACCAACGGUAGCCGCUCCCCUGUCACCACCAUCAUCACGAUGCUCGCAAGCAUCCAACAUCGCCAUCACCGCAGUGACCAAAGGUUCAGCACAGUUUAAGCAUCAAGUUGAGUAGAGAUUAUUACUUGUUUAGGCAUGUGUAUGAGAUGAGUAGAGCAGCUAAGCAAACCUAGUAUAACCUAGACUACCCAUACACAUAACCCCAGGUGAACAAGGAAUGGUAAGUAAUGCUAGUCAUGUCCUUAGGGUUUGCAUUAAUUGGACACAUGCAUGUAAAGUAAAUGACAUUAAUGAAUAGGUUCAAAAUGAUCAAACGGUGUCUGCACUUGCCUUGAUCGAUGUCGGGUUGCUCGAACUCAGCGGGAUCCUGAACCUCUUCCUUCACGAACGUCUCGUUGGCUAUACGCGACAAUCAUCAAUCAUAGGAACAAUACAUGCAAGCAAACAAACUUAAUCAGAAACAGUACACCAAAGCAUGCGAAAACAGAAAGCAACUGCACUACUGUAUUCUACUCGACGAAACGAAACCAUAGCGACCAGAAUCACCUAAAUCGGAGUUACAAUGCAAAAGUUAUGGCUAAAACAAGUUGAAUGGCAUUUAUGUAGAUAAACUGAACUAUUUUUCGUAAUAAAAACUAAUUAAAAACUGAAUUAAAACUCAUUUUGGAUUAAAUCUGCAAAAUCCGACGGCUGCAGGGGCUAUUAAGCAAAACCAGGGGCACAUUUCUAAUUAUUUUUGAACUCAGCUGGGCCGCGGGUUAAUUUCAAAGAAAGGCAGGGGCCUUUUUGCAAAACAGCAGGGGCGCGCGGGCUGGCCGGUCCACGGCACAGUGCGGUGAACCGGGGCGCGGGGCAGGGCGGCCGCGGUCCAUGGUGGACCGCGCCUGCGGGAGAGGCGUCGGCGGCUGCGUGGACCCGGUCCACGUGGACCGGCCGCACGGGGGCGCUGGGCCGCGGUCCACGGUGGACCGCGCGCCGUUGCGGGGCGGGUGCGCGCGCAGGGGCGGCCGGCGGGCGGCGGUGGCGCCAUUGGCGCCGCUCGGAGCUCGCCGCGGCGGCGGUUCGUGGCGCGGGGAGGCGAGCCAAGGGCACCAACGGGUGCGGCUCGGCGAGACGAGCGCGUUGGAGGGCUCACCUCCGAGAAACGAUGACGGCAAAGAGAAGCUCGACGGCGGCGGCGCGGAUUUCGACGAAAAACGGCGGCGGCUCGGUUUCGGCGAAAACGGUGGCGGCGCGAGCUAGGGUUUUUGGGGGGGCGUGCGGGCGGACGAGGGACGCUAUUUAUAGCGCGGGCGAACCUCGGGGCGCGGGUUUUGCGCGGAAGCCGAGGAGGAGGCGGCACGGCUGUUGCUCCCGUCCGAUUCGGACGGAGCUCGGGGAUGACAGGCGGGUCCCACCUGCGGGGCCCACCGGUCAGCGAGUGGGCGAGAGGGGAGCCGGGUGCGCUGCGGCUGGGCGGGUGAGCUGGGCCGCGGCAGCGGCUUGGGCCGGGGGGAGAGGCGCUGCCCCUUUUUCUUUUUUUUUAGAAACAAAUUGCUUCUCCUAUUUAAUUCUUUCUCCCAACAAAAUAAAUGCAAGCACCAGCAAACAAAUCAAACAAAAAUAAGUGCAGCAGCAUGAAUGCACACAAACAUGUUUUCUACCUUAUAUUUAAUUUUAUUUAAUUUUGUAAAUUAUUUAAUAAUUCCCAAAAAUUCAAACUGAGCCAAAAUUAAAUCAAAUUUAAACUAGAUUUGAAAUUCAAAAAUUUGGAGUGUUAUAACAUAGGCGGUGAAUGGCGGGAAUGGGGGAGGUAACCCUAGGAACUUCGCACCAUCUCCCCACGCAUGGAAUCGCCACGCCCGUGAGCUCGCGGGAGCACAGAGCGAGCCAGGCUGAAAAAAUGGCCUAUUUGAGCGUUCUUCGAGAACCAGGCCCGGGAGGAGUUUUUGCACGUACUCAGCGAGGCUCGGAAGCAAGACCAAGCAACCAAACAGAGGCAGACUGUAUGGUUCGCCCAUAUGCAGCCAACCAAACAGCCCCUAAACACUCUUAGGCCUUAUUUAGUUGGUGAAUGAUUUUGAGUUUGACUAACGUAACACUUUCGUUUGUAUUUGAUAAUUAUUAUUUAAUUAUGGACUAACUAGAUUUAAAGGAUUCGUCUAAAAAAUUAUAGGUAAACUAGACAAUUAGUUAAUUUUUAUCUAUAUUUAAUAUUUUAUGUAUAUGUCUAAAAAUUCGAUGUGACGAGAAAUCUUGAAAAAUUUUGAGAAAUUUUUAGAAUUGAACAGGGCUUUAGUCAUGAUGAGUAAUGAAUUCACACCCAGUUCGCAUGGUCGAAUUUGCCUGUCCUGCUUUCCUCCUGUGUGGAACCGCAAAGGACGAGACGAGACAUCAUCUCCUCUCUCUCCCCAUCUCUCGACCCGACCUCGCUCGCCGUGUCUGCCCCUGCUCUGCCCUGCCUGCCCCCCAGACGCGAUCUCUCUCUGCCUCCGAAUCGCCGAAAUUCCCUUUCCUCCUCCGUCCCACCUCGGAUCGAGUCCAAGCCACCGCGCGCCCAGCCCACUCCGCUGACCUAGCCCUGAAAUCCCCAAUCGAGCCCGACCGGAGCCCGUCGGUUCCGCCGGAUUCGAGCUCCCACCGGUGAGACGGUUCGUCUUGAUCGGUCGAUUGGACUCGAAUUCGGGUGUUCCGGAUGCGGGCAGAGACGGAUCUAGGGUUUCGGAGGGCCUAGGGUCUGCCGGCGUUCUGGUGAUGGUGUUGCGGCGCGGUGCCGGAGCUCGGCGAGGUGGAGGUUUCGGCGGCGACGUUGGAGAAGAUGCAACGAGCCGGAUAUGCAUGGGUGGCGCGACACUGAGGGGUGCGACGGCAAGAGGCGGCGUCUUGUUCGGCUCAUGUGGCCAGCGGCACGCGUAGAGGCAGAAGCUCCACCAUCACCGUCAACAGCUACUACUCCUUCCCGUUUUUCUGUUCUCUCGCCUCGGACGACUUCUUAUCAGCUAGCGGCGGUGGCGGCGCAGGAGAAGGAGUGCGUCGAUUCUCCCCGCCCAGUGUCCCCAGGCUCCUUUAUAAAGGUGCGUCUUCAUUGGUUAUUGCCAUUGAACUUGCUCACCGUUAUGAGAUUCUGUCGAUCUGAUGAUGAUGAUGAUUAUGAUGUUAAGUAUGACUAUACUAGAUUUCACUGCCUAGUUGGCAAUUUAAAGACUAGCAUGAGAAGUGUCAUGAAAUGUGUGUUGAGUUGGUUAUUCCAAUAGCAGUUGCUAGCGUGCUAAUAUGUAAACAGACUAUAUUUUGUAUCACUGGAUUGAAUUCUAUGGUCUUAUCACCCUCAGCUUGAAAAUUUCACCUUUUAUUAGUUUUUAAGGAGUGUUAAAGCUUCUUUAUGGAAUUUUGCUAAGGAUCAUGGGCAGGUACCGUCCAAUCAAUAUGUGUAUUGUACUAUUGUAACAGAUUACUUAGGCCCCAUUUGCACAGCUCCUCCACUAGCUUCAGAAGCUGUUGAGAGCUGUUUUGUGCCAAACGCGAUAAAAUAGAACAACUCCGCCAGAUGAGGAUCUCCUUAAAAUGUGUUCUCAUAAAGGGUGGAUGGAGCUGAAAAUAGUAGCUUCUCCCAGCUCCUACUCGCUCUGGUGGGCCUUGCAUGGGAUUCCAUGAGAGCAGGUUUUAAGGAGCUCCACAUGUAGAGCUGUUUUGCCAAACGGUUCACCAAAACAGCUUCAUUGCCUCUGGUAGAGCUGUUUGUAGAGCUCAAGCAAAACAAUAAUGACUUCACUAGUGAAGUGGAGCUCUGCCAAACUCAUAUAAUGCUUGUGCUGGUCUUCAUUGUAAUUAGUAAUUACAUGUUUUACUAUUGUUUUUUCAUUCCUUGUUUGAUUACAAAUAUAAUUCACACAGGGAGGUUGUAAUUGUUCAAUUCCUACACCAAAAUAACAAGACCACAUUGUAACAUACUAACAUGAAGGAUGUUUUGUGCUCCUUGAACAAACAAUAAGUACUGUUUAAUUUUCAGGACGGGCGUGAGAUUCAAGUUGGCGAUUGUGCUCUUUUCCGGGCUGUUGAUGUUCCUCCAUUCAUUGGAUUGAUACGUUGGAUUGAGAAAAAGGAAGAAGGCUAUCCCAGACUACGCGUUAGUUGGCUUUAUAGACCUGCCGACAUUAAGCUUAACAAGGGCAUUCAACUGAACGCUGCACCAAACGAGAUCUUCUACUCUUUCCACCAGGACGAGGCAUCUGCUGUUUCCCUGCUGCACCCUUGCAAAGUUGCCUUUUUACGUAAAGGUGUUGAGCUCCCGGUUGGAAUUUCUUCAUUUGUAUGUUGGCGUGUAUACGAUAUUGACAACAAGUGUUUAUGGUGGCUUACCGACCGAGACUAUAUUAAUGUAGGUUCAUUAUUUAUUUCAUGUUUUUCUCUGUCCCUUGUAUGUAUUUAUAAUGCUGUUCCUUGCGUGAAACUUUUUACCAGGAACGGCAGGAAGAAGUAAAUCGGCUUCUGUACAGAACAAGGCUAGAAAUGCAUGCUGCAGUGCAGUCCGAUGGACGCUCUCCAAAGCGGCUAAAUGGUUCAUCAGCAUCCCAGCAACUGAAGACUUCUACAGAUGGUACACAGAAUUGUGGUUUAUCCAAGGGAAAGAAGAAGGAGAGAGUUGAGCAAGGAAUUGAUCCAGCUAAGCGGGAUCGAGAUCGUCUGCAUGUUGAUGAUAGUGAGCCUGGAAGCAAGUUGGACGAUAUAAAGUCUGAAAUAGCAAAGGUUGAAAAAGGUGGACUUCCAAACACAGAAGCGGUUGAAAAGCUUGUGCAUCUUAUGCAACUUGAUCAGACUGAGCAGAGGGUAGACCUUGCUGGUCGGGUUAUGCUUGCUGAUGUUAUUGCAGCUACAGAGAGCCCUGAUUGUCUUGGCAGAUUUGUGCAAUCAAGGGGCCUUCCCGUGUUGGAUAGUUGGCUUCAAGAGGCUCACAAAGGGAAGUCUGGCGACGGUAGUUCUAAAGAAGCAGAUAAGCCUAUUGAUGACCUUCUCUUGGCGCUACUUCGUGCGCUAGCUAAAUUGCCUAUUGAUCUCAGUGCACUGCAAAGUUGUAGCAUUGGAAAAUCUGUCAAUCAUCUCCGCAGCCACAAAAAUUUGGAGAUACAGAAGAAAGCUAAGUGUCUUGUUGAGAACUGGAAGAAACGCGUUGAUGCUGAAAUGAAGUCGAAUGAUUCGAAACCUUUAACUGGCCAAUCUGCUUCCUGGCCUGGAAAAGCAGGUUUCCAAGAAAUUUCAAAUACUGGAAGCAAACGAGGUGGCUCAAGUGAGCACAGCCCAAAGAAUGCAGCAUCCACUGUUUCAUCACUAAAGGUUUUGACUGAUAAACCUGGGGGCACAGAUGCUGUUGCAAAGUUGAAUCAUGUAGCUUAUGUCUCUUCAAAAGGACAACAUAUACAACCCGGAAAUGUUGCCGCCAACUUGAAGGACCAGCCCUGCAGAUCAACUGGUGGUUCUGAGCUGCCUACUGUGAAAGAGGAGAAAAGUAGCAACUCGAGCCAGUCACUGAACAAUAGCCAUUCAUGCUCUAGUGAGCCAUCAAAGGAUGCGAGAAGUUCAACUGCUGCUUCUGGUGGUGCUAGUAAAACUUCUGGAAGUUCUUCACGGGGCCAUCAAAAGGCAACCAAUGGACUUGUUUCAGGGAACCUGAAGGAAACUUCUGUGGGAAGAUGUGUCUCCCUUGAUCGAUCUUUGCUGCCAGAUAAAUCAUCUCCAACUGGAUCAGCUUCUGAAAAAGGAGUUGACAUGCCAUCUGAUCAUGGAAAUAAUCAUAGAUUGAUUGUUCGGUUUCCAAAUCCUGGCCGUAGUCCUGCUAGAAGUGCAAGUGGAGGAUCUUUUGAGGACACAUCUGUUACUGGUGGUAGAGCAUUGUCUCCUGUGGUUGCAGAGAGACAUGAACAGAGUGACCGCAGAGUGAAAAUGAAAACUGAAAAUUCUCGGCCUCAUUUAACCUCUGAUGUUAAUGCAGAGUCUUGGCACAGCAAUGAAAUUAAAGGAACUGCUGGUUCGGAGGAAGGUGAAAAAUCACCAUGUGCUAUGUUAGAUGACAACAGCAGGACACCUGAUGAUUCUGUUAAGGAUGCACAUGCAUCACGAGUUGUAUGCUCAGCCUCAUCAUAUAUGAAUGAAAAAGGCAUUUGUUCAAGUGAAACCAAGGUAGGAAACUCAUUCAGCCCAAUGAAUGCUCUGAUUGAAAUCAAGUACUCUGAAGCUAAUCAUUCCUUGCAUGCUGGAGACGACACAGCAAUGGAUCUUCUUGCUAGUGUGGCAGGAGAAAUAUCUAAAUCUGAAUUGGUUUCCCCAUCUUCACCCAGAAAUUCAUCUGCAAAGAAAUUGGGCUGUGAGGGUGACAAUGCUGGGAAGGUUAAAGUAGAAAGUGAUGUGGGCCCAUCACAGGAUCCAGGGCCAGCAGAUGCUAAGAAAGUUGUUGGUGGGAAGGAAGUGAAAAUCGAUUCUUGUUUGGCUGCAAAUGAGGAACAACGCCAAACUGUGCCAUCUCCUGAGCUAGCAGAUUCAAAAGCAGUUGGAUCUUCAGUCAAAAUUGAAAUCCAUGAAGGCCGUGCAAAAAAAUGCUACUCUCAACCUGAUUCAGUUGAUUCCAAAGGUGAACAUGAUCAGAACUCCAAUUUGUGCCACUCAGCUAAUGCUAAAAUUGUCAACGUGCCUAAUAUGGAUUCAUCUGCAGGUGAAAAUCGGGAUGCGUGUAGACAAGGGAAAGUUGAAGAUGGCUGUACAGACAAGGAUGGUGCUGUGGAUUCUACAUUGGGUAGUCAGUGUAGGCUGGUUGUUUCCAGUAGAAAUUCAAGAUUCGUUCUUGCUGGAGAAUCUUCAUUGUCUGCUGCUGAUAAACAAGCCCAGGGUUUGUUGAAGUCAUCAACUAAUCAUAAGAAGCUUCUGGGUGUAUCAGGCCACUCAGGAGCCUUUAAUAGCCGUGACAGUAUGGCUGGCAAAUUAGAUUUGAUGGCUGCAGAGGUGAAAAAAGCUGAUGUUGUGGGUGAUAGUAGCAUACUGCGGAAUGAGGAGGAAAAGUAUGAAAAUGCUUCUUUCCCUUCGGCUGAUGUUCCAAAACUAGUUGUAGCUGCAGCGUCCCCAGAAAGUGGGAUUAAUAAGGCGAUGAAAGAAUCAAAAGACACUUCAAGUGAAUCCAACAGUCAUGUAAAAUCUGAAGGUGUCAAUUCUCAGCAAAGUGAGCAUAGUGCAAAGCAGAGUUCAAAAAAAUCCAGUGAUGGUGUGAGUGGAAAGGAUGACGGAAAAGAUGACCUUGUCUCAUCAGAUGAAGGUUCUUCUCUAGCUGCCCACACCAUGUCAAAUGCUACAGCAAAGCUUGACUUCGACUUGAAUGAAGGAAUACCUGGGGAUGAUGGGCAUCAAUCUGAGCCAACUAUCUCACCUGCUAUAUGUUCCUCAACGGUCCAUUUAACUGGGCUUUCGCCAUUUACUUCACCUGUUACAUGUGGGCUUCAGUCAGCUC